UUCUUUUUUUUUUUUGGUUGGGAGAUGAACGGAGGACUUGAUUUGCUCUAAUUUUUACCGCAUCACAAACCUAACUAAGCUCGUGCUCCAAAAUAUGUGCCGGCCGGUAUUCGAGAAAUUCUUUGGAAAAUUAAGACGUUGUUAAUAUCUAAAAAUACAAGUUGAAAUAUAUGAGACUGAAGGACAAGUAAAUCGGAGCAGAGAGGCAGUGUCACAUACUCACAUGCAUGCAUCCUGAAAAAUCAGUUCCCCGGCCGGCAGAGGAGUGGGAACAUGUAGAUCUUUGACCAAUAAAAAUCAUGAACGGGAUCGUCCAAUUCAACAAAGUCAGCGGUGUAGCAUUGGAUCAGGCAGUAUCAUUUGCUCCACCUUCCUCAUGGGGCUCUAUAGUAGGUACUAUAGUAGUGUAUACUGUUCAGUGGCCUUCCACACCUUUUGCCACGGCUUCCCAUGGUUUUUACCUCUUGUUCAAGACCUCACGCAGUGACGGAGCUCUUGUUCAAGCUUCACGCAGUGACGGAGCUAUGAUUGGAAUGUGAGGAGGCCCUGUUAAUCUUUUCGUGGGCUAAAUACUGAAACAUGCAACUUCUUCUCUAUCUAAACAAUGUCAAUGGAAAAAUGGACCAUAUGAUGACUUCGUCCCUGACUUCACUGCUAAAAGCCGGCAUCUGAAUUAGUAAUUACUAAUUAGUAUCAUGGGAUACUUGUUAUCUCAUUUCAAAAGCCAUUCUGUUUUGAACUGAGUAGUCAGAUACAAAAUCAAUUAGUCCAGUGCGCAGUAAAAUAAUAAUAAUAAAUUUACAAAAGUGUGUAGUCCAUCCAUUCAAGAAUACGAGGCAAUUUAUUAUUUAUUUGACAAUUUCCUUUUAGAAUUCUAUAUUUUAUUUUAGCCGUGCGAGAGAUUUUUAGAAUAUGAAUCUGACGGUAUAAUCUUUUAAACCUAUGCCAUACUUGUAAUAAUAUUUGAGCGAACUGGAGCUCAAUUAGGUAGGUUUGUUGUUACGGAGCCUGCAUAUAUAUUUGAGUGUUGAUGCUCCAUGCUCGUAAUUUUGCGAUUACGUUCCAGAAAUGAAUGGUACUAUGCUUUUUUUAAUGAUAGUGCCGAGUCUAAGUGUGUGCAUGCAUUCACAUGUGCGAGUAUGUGUGUUUGUAUCUUAGCCUUUGCGUUUCAUAUUUUAAAAAAAAUAAUAUUUGACUUUUCUACAACAAAAGUUUUCACACGGAGGAACACAUACUAUUACUGCUCUAAGCGAAAUAUACAAGCAGAAAGUCUCAAUUUAAGGACGGAGUAAGUUAGGUUAAAGACAUGAAAAAAUUAAUAUGAUCUUGAUCCUCCUCCAUGUCAUUAGGUCCAAACACGGAGCCUGAUUGGUUGGGACCAAAAUUUACCAUGUCAAAACUAUGGCAGACCAAAACGUGGGCAUGCCAAAAAAAAUUACCAAAAUCAGGGCAAGAAUUUUAGAAUAUGAGCUCACCAAAUUUUUUUACCAAAAUCAGGGCAAGAAUUUUUUACCAAAGUUUAUGAGCUCAACCUAAUUUUGGCUGGCUAGAUUUUGGAUGCCACCCAAGCAGGCUGGUUUGAUUAUGGAAUCAGUUUGCUAUACAUACCAUACAUGAGUCAGUGGGCUCAUUUUCCUCAUUGGAAAAGGGCUCCUGGGCUGGGACUGUUUAAUGGGCUUCAUGCUAGAUUGUCCGACGUUUUGACUCUAUACUACACCGACUGAUUGCCUUACGGUAAAAUGCCAUUGGGUCUGCUACCUAGUAAUAGCCCUGUACAUGGUGCGGUUUCAAUCCGGCCAGCCCGUGGAGCUUUUCGUAACUUUUUUGACCCAAAAAGUUAAACACCUUCUGUUAACGUCAGAUUUUGACACGUAUGGAAUCGGCAUCAAGGAAGGAAAAGAUUGGCCGAUAUGACGAGUUAAAAGGUCACGAUCGGGAAUCGGCCGAUUGGUGCUACAGUGUUUUGGCAGACGGAGUUGGUGGAGAUCGGCCGAUUGAAAGGCUGAAGCGAUUUGGCCAAUAUGGAUUUAAAGUGGAUCAGAGAAAGAAGAUGGAGGAAGAUUGGCUCGCGGGAAUACAAUAACCAACUCCGAUACGAGUUGUCCUUGUAAAUAUUCGUUUUCAAUUAGAGAUAGAUCCUAGUCGGUUAGGAAAUUGCUUGUAACAGGCUAUAAAUAGCCAUCUUUUUAGAGAUUUGUAAACAACACAUCAAUCAAUACAACAAUCUACUAUUUCCUCGUAUUUUACUUUCAAGUCGGCGACUUCGCCAAUACUUUUCUUCUUUCACGAGUUCGUACGGGUUGGCAGGGCUGCAUCGACACGAUCUCCGGCCGAUUCUGUAAGUUCCGUUUAUCGAGUAAUAUAUAAGCUUUAACUUCGGGCGCAUCGCUGUCGUUUCGUUUAGAUUUAUUCACCAGUUAUCGAUAUUUACUAAAAUUAUAGGUUUUAUCUGUUGUUCUAGUUUUAUCACCAGUUAUCCAGCUUGAGAUUUGAACUGUCGGCUUUGUUAUUGUUAUUUUCAUUCAUUAUUAUCAUACAGCCGAUUAGAUCUGUUUCAAGUAUUGUUUUUGUAGCUUUGUUUAGUUCACUCUAGUAGUUUUCUUUACAAUCGCUACGUGAUUGUCGGCUGUAUUAUAGCCGAUUAUCUUUUUAUAGCAAAUCGGCCGAUUCGCUGAUAUGCUCCUCGAGAUCGAAACUUUAGUCGAUCGGAACCCCUAGAAUUUGACACGUUUUCUUCCUUGCCAAUCAACAGGUCAGAUUGGCUGGCACGCCGCGCGAACCGCACCAGGGCGAUCACCCGAACAGGAGCUAAGCAGAUUCUCUCGGGUCGUGUGUCCGACGCUGAGGGUCAAUCGGCUGACUUUUAGCGCCAGCACCUUCUAAUUUUUAUAUGGAGGGAGUAUAUUUUUAUCCUACUUUCCUUGCUUUUAAAUUUGGAUUAGUUGUAUUUUAAUAGGUUCUAUAGGUCGAUCUAGACCUGAGCAAACCUCGGGUCGGGCCGGGCUGGCAAAAAGCUCGGUUUCUUUCAGGCCCAAAAAUCUCCGUCCAAGCAAGCACAUUAACUCUAUCGGGCCAACGAAAUCAGGCCUAAUUCGGGUCGGGCUCAGGCCACACCCUUAUUUUCUAGUAAAAAUUUGAUUCAUUUUAUUAUUCGGAUCGAGCUCGAGCCCGCCUAUUUUUUCGGGCCGCGAAAAGCAGCGCCACGUCCAGCCCUGAAUGAGUGUAGGGCCGGGUGAGAAACUGUGAUAUGAAACUCCCCGCUCGGAAUAGCCUACCAUAUAUCACCCACCGUCGCCAAUAAAUUUGCAAGAGGAAAUAGUAGGUACGAAGGAUAGAGGAGAUUUUCACCUUGGUUUAAUCUAGCAAAGCAAAUUGAAGGCAAAAUGAAAGCCCCAAAUUAAAGAAAGCAAAAGGCAAGCUAAUAUACUAGCUAAUAAGCAUAUACUUGCCUUGGCGCGUGGGUUCGCGUACGUGAACGGGAAUAGCACAAUUCCUUGGCUCUCCUUGUCACCUACCUAUGGGCCAUGGCCGCACACUUGACGACACUUGCAUGCGCGCAGAAUGCACGACCACCUUAGCCUUACCACUGCCAAACUAAAUCUAACUGGAGAAACAGGCGGCACGCCGGGCACCAGCCGCCGCGCGGCGGAGGGAGAGCCUGAGAGAAGAUGGCCGAGCUCGCGUCGGGCGCCGUGAGCUCGCUUCUGGGCGUCAUCCGCGAUGAGAUGCGGCGGCUGGGCCGCGUCCGGGGCGACGUGCAGUUCAUCAGGGAGGAGAUGGAGAGCAUGAACAGCUUCCUGCUGCACCUGGCCCGGACGGCGCCUCCCGGCCGCGAGCACGACGAGCAGGUCGGGACGUGGAUGAACCAGGUCCGGCAGCUCGCCCAGGACUGCAACAACCGCAUCGACCUCUACCUGUACCGCGGCAACCCCGACAUCCAGCGCGCCAGGGGCGGGCUCUGGCGGCGCUACCUCUGGUGGGUUCCCUGGUUCCUGCAGAAGAUGGACGCGCAGCACCACGCCGCCGCCCAGCUGCGCGCCCUCAAGGACCGGGCGCGAGACGUCGGCGAGCGGCGGCUGAGGUACGGCGUCGAGGUCCCGGGGGAAGCACGACGACAAGGAAAAGGAGGUACCUGCUGCACGAGGCGGUGACGGCGACGACGGUGACGAUCAACUCGCGGCGGCGAGCCAUAACUAUUCUACUACUAGCAGUCGUCGAAGGGCAGAGUUAUUGGAGCCUCGCACGCCGGAGGACUUCUUGAAGUGGAAGCUAACCGAGUGGAUAGAUGAAAUGCGCACAAAAUCAUUCCUCGCUAUUGUGGCACCACAAUCACAUGAGGAAGAAGUCUGUGCUCUUGCAUGUGAAGUUCUGGACGCGAAGUGGUAUGCCAACUAUGUCCUGGUCGAUCUCCCGGCAGUGCACCUGGAAUUCCUACCGCUGCGACCCAAGGACAUUCUGUUCUACAUCUUGCGGGGAAGUCGAGCUCCAGCGUGGCCGCAUAUCCCCAUCCCAGCCCCAGCUGCAGCAUGUUUCUAGAUGGCGAGCUGAGCGCAUAAGGAAAUGGGAUGCUUACUUUGAGAAAAAGAAGGAGUUUGAUGAAAUCAAGUAUAGCAUCCAAAAAAUGAAGGUUUACGACAAGCUUGAAGAGGUCAAGAACGAGGUUCUGCAAGUGAAGGGCGACCACCUGCGGCUGGACCUGACAAAAGAGGUGGGACACAGAUUAUAUUUCUUCGACAAACCCUUAGGCGCACUCCUCCUGCUGCUACUCAAGUCAGCUGCAGCGGCGGCUCAGCAAGAUCGAGUAAGCAAAAUGAAAUUAGAAAUGGCCACAUUGGCAGCAUGUUACAAAUACUUCAUCGAGGCAACAGCCAAGAAGCUUCAAGAGCAUUUGGAAGGAGGUGCGAAGCAGCCGACUUGUCUCGAUCGAAAAAAGAAGCUUCAAGAGCAUUUGGAAGGAGGUGCGAAGCAGCCGAUUCGUCUCGAUAGAAGACAAUACGAGGACAUCCUACGGGAGGUGUUCCCCAAGACCAGCGACACCAAGGACCAGGAGCAAGACACAGAGCAAGCAACGAAGAUCUCCAUCACCACUACAUUGGAUGAGAAUCAAAUCAAAGGAAUUGUCGAUAAGGUUAGACAACAAAUCCUGCGGGAGGUGCUUCCCCAUGACCGGCGGCGACAGCAAGCCCCAGCAGGAAGACAGCACGCAGCUGGCCAUGCAAGACACAAAGACCACAACCACUACAUUGGGCGACGAGGAUCUGAUCAAAGAAACGAGACACGAUGAUAGCCUAGUAAUCGUGCAGAGGGUGACGGAAGCCGAAUCUAACAGGAAACAAACAGCAGGUAAACUGGAUGGUUCUAUGGUUGAAGAAACCAUGGAGAGGAUUGAGACCAUCAAGCGGAAGAUCAAAACGCAGCUGAAUAUCAAAGGGAUCAUGGACAGGAUUGAACAGCUUUUGGAUGACAAAAUCACCAACACCAUGGUUAUCCUCAUGAUAGGUGAUACGAUGGAUAGAUCCGUAUGGGAGGAGACCAGAAACGCUUUGAGCCUGUUGGGUCGUGUGGGUGGUGCAUUAAUCAUCACCACCUCAAAGGGCACCCAGCGGGCUAAAGAAUAUUGCUAUCCACCAUGGGAGCCUAUUGACUACUCUGUUGUUGGCCCCUACCAUGCCACUGUGCUAGCGCUAGCAAGCCAGAAGAUGCAACAGGACGCCCAGAUUUUCCGCGACAUCGUGGAUGAGUGUGCGCCACAUGAAUUCUGCAUGAAGAUCUUCGCUCAUGCUUUGUACGCCAAGCCCAAGAGGAGCAAUGAAGAACUGCACCAGCUGCUCAGCACCCUCAAGGCGGUUUCGCCAAAAACUUUUAUCGGCAUCGUAAGAAGAUGCUCAAGUUCUCAUUCAAUGAUCUGCCCAAAGAGUACAAGUCUUGCUUGCUCUACCUGUCCAUCUUCCCUCAAGGUCACAACAUCAGGCGGUCAACCUUGAUAGGGCGGUGGGUUGCAGAAGGUCUGAUAACCAAGGAAGACUGGUCCACUUCGGUGCGUCAGGCUGAGCGACGUUUCGAUGCAGUUAUCAAGAGGUGGCUUGUUUAUCCUGGUUACAUUGGCGCUACAGGAAAGGUCAAGAGCUCCGUGGUAGGUGCUCAAAUCCAUGGAUUCAUUACAAAGAUAGCCAAGAAACAGCACAUUGUGGAGGCACGCCUGUCACAUCACCUGGCUCGCCACUUCUCCAUUUUCAAUGAUGUCCGACUGCGCGGCUCUGAUAGAAUCGACGAUUUCUUUCGAAAGCUCCCCAAGUCACAUCAAUUGUCCCUGCUCAAGGUGCUUGAUCUAGAAGGAUGCCAUUGCUUUGGUGGGAAAAACCAGUCCUACCUCAAGGACAUCUGCAGCAAUAUCUCACUGCUCAAGUAUCUGAGCCUGAAGAGAACAAAUGUUACCCAGCUGCCUAGCGAAAUCAACCACCUCCAUGAGUUGGAGGUACUGGAUAUACGGCAGACUGAGGUACCUGCACUUGCAACAAAAAACAUCCUGCUACUGAAGCUGAAGCGUCUGCUAGCUGGUCACACCGUUCCAAGUCCAAGCAAUACUGACGCUGGCAUGGCUGUCCAAGUUCCUGACAAGAUUGGAAAAAUGUUAAACAUGGAGGUACUAUCCAACGUCAAGCCACGGAGUGGUCGAGAUUUGGAAGACAUUGGAACUCUAUGGCAACUGAAGAAGCUUGGUUUGGUUAUCAAAGAGUAUGGUCAUCUUAUUAAUUUGGCUGGAGCCAUCAGUAACCUACAUGAGAGUCUCCGGUCUCUGUCGAUCACUCUUCCCAUAACCAGUUGUGACGGCACUCUUUCCAGCACAGAGUUUCCUUAUGACAUCGAUUCUCACCUGACAUACGGUCCCAAGCUUCUUGAGAGCCUAAGCAUCUGCGGAACCACAGCAAAAGGGUCACUUCUUUCAGUGUUGGCCAAAUACGGCGAUUGCCUUGUCAAGGUAACUCUAAGUAGGGCCUCACUAAACCAUGACGAGCUGAAUAUCCUUGCCAAGCUGCCAAUGUUAAGCUGUGUUAGGCUCCGACACAUUGUGUGCGCCCAGAGAAAGGUCAGCUUCAAGGAGAAUGAAUUUCAAAAACUCAAGUACUUUCUUGUUGAAGGCUCCAACAUCACUGAUAUCAACUUUCAACAUAGAGCAGUUCUUGAGCUUGAGAAGAUUGUUUUGUCCUCCACCGGCUACCUGAAGUCUCUUUCUGGAGUCAACCAUCAUCGAAAACUGAAGGAGCUUGAGUUGAACAACAGCAGCAGAUUGCUUUCAUUAUUGGACAGUGCCGAAAAAAUAGCCAAGCUAACUCUUCGUGGAACAUUUCUCAUGCAACAUGAUCUAAAAAUCCUCGGUAAGAAACCAAACAUGCGCUGCCUAGUGCUCCUGGACAAGUCUUGUGCUCAAAGAGAGCUUACUUUCAACAAAGAUGAGUUCCCAAAGCUCAAUAUUCUUAUUGUUUGCUGCCCCAACAUCACCAAGAUCAACUUCACCAACAGAUCUGCUCUUAAGCUCGAGAAGAUUGCUUGGACCUUCACCAACAAUAAACUAGAACAAGCAAAAGGAGAUGCUGCAAAAGAGGAUGGGGAUGCUGCAAGAUUCCCAUUCUGCUGGUAGAACAAGGUCUGAUGCUGGGCUGGAGGAGCCUAUCCUUUUAUCUGUUCAUCAUCGAUUUUCAUGGUGUGGUUUGUGUGUGGUCGUGUGGUUUGCUAUCUGUUCUGCUUGUGAAUUUAUGUUUUCUGCACCUGUGCGUGUGUUUAUAUUCUAGAUGUGUGUCGACCAAGUGCAUCCGGUCUCUAACUUACACACAUGCCCUGAGCAUAAUGGUUGUGUCUAUGCUCAUGGAUUUGGAUUUGUGUGGCUUUCAUCUGGACCAUCAUGCUGCAGCAUGGGCCGACUGCAGGCCUGCAACCUACCUGAACCUGCCUCCUUUCACCCUGCCCUUCUGAGUUGUUGUGUGUUACAAGACAGUAGACUUCUCUUACGUUUUAAUCUAUCCGUGUGUGUGUCCGGUUAGGCCCGCGUUGUAACUGAACGUUCUAUUAUUCUUUUUCUUCUUAAUACAAAGAUACACAGCUCUCCUGUGUAUUCUUGAAAAAAAAAUGCUGCAGCAUGCAUAGGUUCACUCAUGUAAUAAGUGCGAUGUUUGUGUGCACAUCUGACUUCAAAUUAAUGUAUGAUGUGCCUGUAAUAUGUACAUUAGUACUUACUAUUUUACAGGGGCUUCAAACUAGCUCCUGCAUUCAUGCCUGGCUAGGUCCUUGAAGCUCAGCUAUGCAGAUUAAACAUGUGUCGUCUCGAAUCUGUUUAUAUCUUCCCCAUUGCAGUGCCAGCAGUAGGACUCCAGGCAGAAUUGCACAAUCAUUUUCCAACGUCUCCUCACUUCUAACUCCCUCCAUCCCAAAUUAUUAGUCGUUUUGACUUUUCUAAAUUCGUACAUUUUACUCCCUCCAUUCCAAAUUGUAAGUUAUUUUGGCAUUUUUAGAUUCAUAAUUUUUACUAUGCAUCUAGAUAUAGAUACGUAACAAAAGCUAUGAAUCUAGAAAUGCCAAAACGGCCUAUAAUUUGGGACGGAGGGAAUACUAUGGGGCCGUUUGGUUCCUCUGACUUAUUUUUAGCACAUGUCACAUCGAAUGUUUAGAUACUAAUUAGAAGUAUUAAACGUAGACUAUGUACAAAACACAUUACACAGCUGGAGGCUAAACGGCGAGACGAAACUAUUAAGCCUAAUUAGUCCAUGAUUUGACAAUGUGAUGCUACAGUAAACAUUUGCUAAUGAUGGAUUAAUUAGGCUUAAUAAAUUCAUCUCGUCGUUUAGCCUCCAUCUGUGCAAUUAGUUUUAUAAUUAACUCAUAUUUAGUCCUCCUAAUUAGCCUUCGAAUAUUCGAUGUGACACGGACUAAACUUUAGCUCGAGGAACCAAACGUCCCCUAUGCAUCUAGACAUAAUAUAUAUCUAGGUGCGUAGCAAAAUCUAUAAAUCUAGAAAAACAAAAAAGACUAAUACUUUGGGAUGGAGGGAGUACAUAGGAUCGUUGAGGAGGCAUCCUGCUGGUGCUCGCGAAAGCCACAGAUUUAAGCCUCCUUCCACAUGAGAAUACGAGACUAGAGUGGAGGUGUGAUCCACUGAUCUGGGUGGUGUGGUCGUUUUGGUUUUGCGUGUGUGUAUGUGGUGCUGAUGGCCCCUAUUUGCCUCAAUAGACUGACUAUUGGUAGGUUUCAACUUUUCCUAUCAUAAAUACUAAGACUAGUUGAUUACUAAAGCAGAGCUCGUGGAGAUGUAUGUUGGUUCCUUACUGAUAUAUGUUACCAACUCCAUCCAUAAUCAUACCCAUUCUUGGUAAUAUGGCAAAGAAAAAGAGAGAGUGCAUAUGUGCAAGAAAACAGCCUCAACUGGUAGACUUUGUUAGCAUUAUGUCUGCAAAUUACAGGUAUUAAAAAUAACUCCUCCAUGGAUCUACUUUUUUCACGCUGAACAAAUAUUCUAAUGUUUGGAUUUGGCAGCAACGUGUUGGCAAAAGAUUAUAAAUUCUCUAUCUUGAAACGUAGGAAAUUGGAUUUGACCCAACAGAGAGAAAGGGCUCACAGCAAAUUGGACGCCGGCCUUAAGCUGUUGACCUGCCCAUGAACGGCACUGCGCCGCCGCCGCAGAACACUCCAGCACCGCGCCCCACUCCUCGAUCACCACCGCUCAUACCUAACAAACCAAAGCAAACCUGAUUUAGUCAAUCGCUUCCGUCGAGGGAGAGGUCGGCCAAGCGAGGUGCUCUUAGGUUAGCUCUUAGCAGCAUUACACCGAACAUCUUACAUGCCGCAUGAACGCCGCGAGGUCGGACGGCAUGGUGCAUGAACGCCGCGAGGCCGUGCAUCAGCACAUCGCUUCCCUCCUCCCGCUCAUCUGCGCCGUACCCCGGCGUCCACCCUGGCCGCUGGGUGGGCUGUGUUGGUGCCUUGGAGGCUGACUCUUUCUUUUUUCCUUUUUUUUUAUAGGAACCAACCUUGGCUCGCCUUCGCUGGAGGCCUGGUGCGGGACGGGGGCUCGAACCCCUGCCGGCCAGCUGCGUCGUGUUGUGUCACGUGCGUGGUCGUGUGGAGCUGCCUUAUUCUUAGAAGAAAAAAAAUAAAUUGCAGGUUGCAAAGGAUUUUCCUUCGUUUUGCAGCAGAUGUCUUAUCUGAUCCGGAUGCUAUCAGUUUAACAUCUGUCUUUGAUAAAAAGCCGUGAUAGAUGGAGGCGGUUGCCCAUCAGUCUGUUUUCACGAACAUGGCAAGAAAAUUCUACUGCCGAUGAAGUGAUGAUUGAUCAAUCAAAGCGUGACGGUGGUGUAAAGGACACCGGCACUAAUUUCUCCUUUUAUUUCUUACAAGUUUUAUUUCUUACGAGUAGCCGCACACUUGAAGCGUUGAACGCAUGACAUAAACAGCAGCCUAGAGCAGUUGGUUGCUCGGAAAUCAACAGCUGCUUGGAGCAUGUGGCGGUCCAGCAUUGGCCUGGUUAAUGCCAAACCCUCGCCCCAACAAAACGAAACCUCUUGGUGCUUCAGGUGAGAGAGGCGAAAAGGGAACGGCUUAGUUUUCCCGUUCUCCCGCCGGCGAGAGCACCGGUCCCCUUCUCCUCCUCCGGCGGCUGUUUCGACCUCGGACGUGUAGGGGAACGAUGCUUCUCUGCCCGACGGUGUAGUUUAGGUCCCUGUAGGGGUAGGUUUCCCGGUGGCAUCUGCAUGGUGGAGGCCUAGGUGGAAUAACGUCCUCCGGCCCGUUCUCCACCUCACUGGCGCUUGCUCCGGUGCCGGUGAUGGGCUUGUGAGGUUCGUUGCUGGCGGAUCUGGAGGUCCUGUGGUCUUCACGGAUCUGUCCAGCUCCUGUACAGGAGUCUCAUUCCGUCUGGUGGGUUCGCUGGCGGUGAAGGUGUCGAUGACAACGCGGCGCUUGGGAUGUAGAGGAGAUGGUGCUGCGGUUGACAAGUAUGUGGAUCUAGCCACUCUUUGCAGUGGCUUCAAGCGACGAGCUCAGAUUCAAGCGUGGGGUGCAUCCCCGCCCGAUGUUCUUGCUCGGUGUUCGGGUUCCGGUUUGUGGCGGGCAUCUUUGCGGCUCAGUUCAAAGCCUUGGUGCGAUGGCGCUUAUCUUGGUCUGUGGCGGGCGGCUACCAUCACGGGUUUCCUCCGGCAACUUCUGCGAUGGCGGAAUCCAGGGAUGGAAAGCGGCUCUAGAGGAUGCAGAGACCCCAAAGGAUCUUUUUGUUGUUAUUCUUGUUUCUAGGAGCCUGUCUAGUUUGGUUGAUACCCCUGUAUCCUUUGUGCAUGCGUUGGACCAUGUACACGUAUCUGUACGGUUUCAUUACAUCUUAAUAUAUACUCCCUCCCCACCCCAAAAUAAUUGCACAUCUUGCUUCUCAAGGAAUCAAACGUUUUUACGUUUGACUAAGAAUAUAGAAAAUAGUAUCAAUAUUUGUAUCUUCAAAUAAAUUUAUUAGGAAGGUAUCCUCAAUGCUCAAUCUAAUGAUAUUUAUUAUACAUCAUAAACAGUAGUGCAUUUUUGUAUAGAGUUUGACUCCUCACGAAGUGAGAUGUGCGUUUAUUUUGGAAUGGAGGGAGUAUGCGUGAAUUAUCAAAAAAAAAAUGUCAACUGGUUGUUGUAAAAAAAUAACAAAAAAUAUCACUCGUUUUACAAACAGCGAAGUUAUCAGAAUGCUGUCCGUGCAGCAAAUCAGUUAAAGCAACUGUAAAUAAUACCACAGGUACCACGGCUACAAAAAUUGGCAAAUGCAAUGUAAAGAAACAGAAAGCCCCUAUCAUUUCUCUCUUCACCUGUGGCGGCGAUCACGGUCCCGCUCCCGACUCCUCUCGUAGUCAUGGUCUCUUCCCCUGUCCCUCCCUCUUUCCCUGUCAUGGUCUCUGCUCCGGCUUCGGCUACGGCUCCGGCGCCGCUCCCUUCCAUGAUCACCCCUAUCCCUGUUCCUGCUUUCCUUUUCAUCAUAAUCGACCCUACCACGAUCCCUGCUCCUCUCCCUGCCUUCCCUUUCACUGGAACCUACAACAGUGAAUUAGCACCAGGUCAUGUUCAGCACUGACAAAGUAAUUCAUGACAAUUACCAAAAAGAACGAACUGAGCGAUAAAUAAUCCUACAACGGUCUGAAAUAUGGACUUAUUAAAGCGUGUCAAGAAGAAUACCACGCUGCUCAACUUCCCAUCCAGCACGUCCUGACCCAGGAAGAGUCUGCACACUUUCAGUAUGCUGAGAUUUAGCACGGAAUUUCUUUUUGAGGUUGCCAAACUCAUCAUAUAUCUCUCCAUCAUCCUAUGAUACAAGCCAAAUUUAGACAUGGAAAGCAAUGGUUAAGAUAUAUACAAAAAAAGGUAAUGUUCAGUAAGCAUCCUACCUCCUCAACCUCUUUCCGACGCUUUUUAACUUCCUCUAGUUCUUCUUCAUCAAGCUCUUUGUACCCACCACCACGGCCACCCCUAAAACAAUAAGCAAUUGGUGAGACAAGCCUCAAUAUUUAAAGAAAUACCUUUUAGUUAUAAAUAAUUGUACACAUGGUUGCUCACUUAUGGACAUAACAUACAACACCCAGUUGUGCUGGUCUAUACAUACAUGGCCGGUUUUUAACAUCAUAUUUCACAAAAUAUGCACUGCAAGAUUCACAACUAGCCACUCACUAUUGUCGAUGGAUUAAAGUGUUGUGGCACUGCACUGCACCUCCUUUGAGUCCAGUUUUGAGCCCAAAAGCCAAAAGCUGGUCACAAGGAGGGCACCAUAUCACAGCAGUUCACUGUAGACCUCCAGUUUUUGAAGGACUAUCCUAAUGUUGAUGUGAGGCCACACUUAACCUGACAGUGAGUGUAUCAGGUGGAAAAGCAUGAUGUUUGGAAUUAAUGAAACAACCCUCAUCCAUCCUUCACCACAAAUAACAAAUGCACUGCUCUUUGCAAUAAUUUGGUAUUAUAAUUUACAAGCUGCCAGCCAUAUGGGCCCAAGGGCACAAACUAUAGCUGCUAGAGUAAAUUUUAUAUUCAACUUCUCAGAUAAUGUGGUUAUGAACCAGCCAAAUGCAAAUAGUAAAUCUUGUACUUACCUUACACCGCCUUCAUUCGUACCAGGUUUGGAAGUGUUACAUAUAUUACAUUUUGUCCGCUUAGCCCAGUUUAUGUUGCCACACCUGGAACACAAAUGAAGUUGGGUAUCAUAACAUCAUUUUUUUCUGAGAACUCAUAACAUCAUAUAAGACAGCAGGUUUAAGUACAAAAUUGCAACAGAUAUAGAGGGCAGUAGUUUAGUUUAAGCAUAGACAAGCAUAUAAUAGAGGCUUGGAAAGAACUAUCCCAUUGGUUUCAUGGGGCAGCAAUUACAUGAUGCAUACAAAUGAAUGUGAACACCAAGUUCAAAAGAUGUAUCCAAUCUAUGAAACAGAAAAACUUAAGCUGUUAGCCUCUUACAUUGGACAUGGCCAAUCAUUUGGACCAAACAAUCCAGGUGGACCACCAACAGCAGCAGCAGUGCCAGCACGGCUGCUUCCUCUUGCAUCAGCGCUACCACGGCCUCUACCCCUACCGCCACCACCACCACCAGCUCCCCCAACACCAGCAGGGCGAGCGGCUCCACAGCGAUUACAAACACCACGGAAGGCAAAGUUUACAUUGCCACAACUGAGAGAAGAAAUCACAUCAGAAAGAACGGAAUACACAAUUAAGACCAUACUAGUCAAACUGGAGAAGUGAUAGAGAAGUUGCUCACCCAUCAUAACAGACCUUGUAUUUGGACACAUCCAAUCCCCAUCUUGCUGCCAAGCCUUUCCUGGACCAUCACCACGUCCUCUGCCUCUGCCAACCCCGCUAUCCAAUUCAUCUUGUCCACCAAGGUCAGCAGCGAUGCCCAAAUUCGUGGAGCUAUCGAAUGUAUCUUUACUUUUUGACUCAGCUAUGUCAACCUGGAUAAUACUUCCAUGGAAAUCCUUGUUAUUGAACCAGUCCACAGCAGCUGAAGCAGCAUGUGGAUCCUCAUAUGUGACUGUUGCAUCACCCUUCGGUUCAUUUGUAACCUUGUCUCUAUAUAUCCAAAUUUUUGGACGCCCAGUCCUUUUGUCCUUCUGUGUGGUUUGACAACAAAUAAGAGAAAAAAUUAUCAUCAAACGGAAUUUGAAAAAGGCAUACAAGGGAUCUUGACAAACUUGAUAGUGGUUGCAAAAAUGCUACCUGAUAAGACCCAUACCUUUAGCAACCCUAUGGUGCCAAAAUAUUCAGCCAGCAUAGUCUCAUCAGUUCCAGGAGGCAGGUUGCACACAUAAACCGAACCGUUUGGGGGCCCUCUUGACAUAUAUCCAGCCAUCUGUAACAAACCACCAGUAUCAUUAUUAUAAAUUAUUUUCUAUGCAAUAAUAUAAAGAAACCGUUGUGCGUAAAGCCAAGCUUGUCCUAUCAUUCCAGGAACAAAAUACACUUGCAUACCAAAAUAACAAAUCUGAACUGAUGGUUUGCAAUCAACGUGAUGAACAUAUAUAGGGUUUUGAAAAUACUACAUGCAGACCACUUGAUGCUAGAGCAAAGCAAAUGAGAAUGGCAAUCACAACAUAACUAUUAGCCAGAGUGCAUUCAUAAAUGUAGCAAAAUUUGAAGAGCUUUACCUUGAACCAGAAGGCCAAUUCAAGACGCCUCCUUCUGUGUACAGUCCUGAAUGGUUUAUCAGUUGGUUGACUGCAACACAAAUCUUCAGUAUGUGAGAAAUUUAACCUGUACCACAGAAAUAAUUCACUGUCAGUUGUAGUGAUGCUCAGCUAUACAAAACCAGAGCCCGAUAAUCUUUUCUUAUUGCCUAAAUCUGAGUUGAUUUAAAAACCUUAGCAAUUUCAUGUGUGGUAGUGGAAGCAGCUAACAACCAACGACUACCGCGCCAAUGUUUAAGUGCGGUACACAGAUCAUCCCCAAAAUUGCUUACUACAGAUUUCAUUCAUAGUUUUCCAUCAUGGGUUUAAACCUGAUUUCAUUACUUCAAGGUAUGCAACGAAAUUACAAGUCUGGUAUGGUUCCAAAAGCAUCCCUGAACUGAAAGCAAAGACUACUAAGACCAAAACCUAGCCUGGGCUCUUUAUCAGCAACUGAGGGCUGAGGAGACACAGCUAACACCAAAGGGGAAAUACAUGAGAGAGGCAAGACAGACCUGUCACAAACAAAAGUAAACUACCAAACACCUUACAGAAAAGAACUCUAGAUAUGGAUUCCAAAAAGACCUCCCAAUAGACAAAGACUAAAAAAACCAACAUGGACUGAACCCAUCCCACCACCAUGAACUUCAUCCUAUCAUCUUCUCACACAUCCCAGUUUAGAUUUCAUCCAACUAAUGUUUUUUUAUCUCUUUCUAAAGUAUAUACAUACUGGUAAAGUAAAAAAAUCUACAUAAUCACCUAAAGGAUGGCAAAUCCAAGACCUUUGGUCUGAUCAUCACUAUCCACACAAGAAAGCAUAGUACAUUGCAAGUCAAGGAAAAAAAUGGCACAAACCAGUGGAUCCGCUUCACGGGUUGGCUGGUUGGAGGCGAGUGGAUUCCACGGAGGUCAGCGAAACCCUAGCACCACGAGAGAAGGAGAACCAUAUCAUCAAAGAAUCCUUGGAUGGGAACGAAGGAAUCGACGCGUCGAGCUUCUUUGUAGUACCUGUGGAUCUCGUCUUCAAAGAGAGAGGGAUCCACGGAGAGGGGUGGAGGGAGGAGGGGAGGGCUCGGGGUCCGCCUCGAGGGAGGGGUGUCGUCAGCGGGGAGGCGGCGGCCGGCGGCGCAGGGCCAAGGAACACGCGUCGAGGUAGAGACGGCGGCCAGCAGCGAGGAGGCGGCGGCGUGGAGGCGGGGCCGUCCGGCCUGAGGGGAGGCGGCGGGAGCGGCGACCGGACCUCGUGGUCUCGUGGAUGCGCUUGGGAGCAGAGAGGAGACGGGGGUGGCGGCUGGGUAGAGAUGUGAGAGGAUUAACAAAAUUAACAAAUCAGGGUCACUUUUCAUUAGUUUUAAGGAGAUUGGCAACUGUUGAUUAUCUUUUUCUUACGGUUUCUAUGAAUUUAUACAUUAUUUUGCAUCAAAUUACUCUGAGAAACACUAGGAAAUGAUAUUUUUUGACAAUAGUAGCAACCCUGUCCGAGUUUAUAUAGCUUCGGAAAAUUGGGAUUAUUCAUGAAGUUUUCUGCAGCAAGUUGUCCUGUCCGCAGUCCGCGCUACUGAUAAGCAAGUCUACUGAAAGUACCUAUCGUGCUCUCUCUUUUCACUGUACAAUUUCUUUGAGAGGAUUUUUUUCUUGUAUAAUAAAACCAUACAAAGACAAAGGUAAUUUUCUUGUGGGGGGAUAGAUUUUUUUUGUACAUGAUCAUACUACAAAAUCUCGUGUUUGGAGUGUCAUCGAACCUAGUUUUCAAAAAAAAGAAAGCCAAAAAUCUGUUGCAGCCCACAUUGUUGCACUCGUUAGCAAUGUCGUAUUCCUAGAUGGAGUGAUCUCCCGCUCCCGCUGCCCUUUUUCCCCCGGCGGUGGCGCCAACUAAACAAAACACCAGAGGGGGAAGGCGGGAAAGCAAGCAGCAAUUUCGCGCCAAGCGGCAACCCCCGGAAAGAUCUGGCAUUUUUUUUCUUUCCUAUUCCUUCUCGUCUGCGCUUGCUUGCAUUUGCAUCCGUCUCAGGGGAAGCACGAAGCAGAGGCGCGUCGCCUAGUAUCGGCGGAGAUGCAGAUCCGCGUGCGUUGCGGGUGCAGCGAUUCGUCGUGCCCGGAGUGGGCCGUCGUGGAGCUUCAGGGCGUGGUGCAGCCGCAGGCAUCCUUCUCCGGCGACAUCCGGGGGCUCCACAUCGGCCGCCUCUGCUCUGCCCCCUCCCCGUCCUCUUCCAAGGCAAGAUAUCUCUUCCCGAUUCGCCGGUCUUCUCUUGUCACCUGAUUGGAGGUGUUGGUCCCUGAUGCGAUUAUGGGAAUGCGAUGGUUGCAGGGAGGGUACACCUUCACGGUGGGGUACCAUGAACUCGCCGGGACGAAAGUGACCUUGAAGAAGCCCCUGCUGGUGCUCAGGAAGAAGAAGGUGACCGGUGGUGCUGCGGAUCAGGAGCCACCGACGGCGGCGGAGGAGGCGGAGCUGGAGGUGAUCGGCGUCAUCCGGCACAAGAUCCUCUUCAAGGACCGCCCCAAGGCCCUCAUCUCAAGUAACCAACCAAUCCACUGUCUUCCGUUGCGUCCAAUUGCGUCGGCAGUAACUGAAUUUCGUGUAUAAAAGACCCUGAUCGUGUGAUUCGGUUUUGGUGUUGUUUAGAGCCACCGACCAAGGAGAAGAAGGCCGUGCAGCCAGCAGCAAAUUGACGCCAUUCCUGGGGAACGGCCAGCAGCAACUUGGUCCAGUCAUGCCAGCGAUUUCGUGGACCUUGAGAAUCUGAAACUCCCUUGGUUUGGCUGUGUGCAUCCAAGGUUUUCUGAACAUGCCAGUGUUCUAGUCAUGAUUGGGCGAAAUGGGAUGUCGUGUUCUGUGUGGUUGGUUGAUGCACUGUAUGGUCUUUCCUCUGCAUUCAGUUUAAGGAUGUAACCUUGUACUGUUUCUGUGCUUUCUUGAUAGCCAGUGACUGUGUCAGUGGUGUUUGGUUAGCUCAAAUGUAAUGUAAUCUGAUUACGGAAGGUAACGAAUCCUAUUACGCAUGUUUGGUUGCGGUGGUUUAUAAUCAAUUGAUAUUGUAAUUGAAUCCCUUACUUAAAUAAUAUCUAUACAAGCUUGUUACCCCUCCUCCUCCAUCGUAAUCAGAUACAACGCCCACACCGUAAUCUAAUUACGUUACCAUAGUGCAUCCAAACAAAGAGGGUAAUCACUCAUUCCGUCAUCAAAUACGUUUACAUUACCUUAGCACAAACCAAACACUAUCUAAGAUAUUUCAUUAUCACUGGCAGUAUUGAAUCGCGGCUGGUAAAAGUGAAACAUUUCAGUGCUCCUCUUGGGGGCAAAGUGGCAACAAGGAAAGCUUAUAGGUUCUAACCAAUAUGAACAUUUAAUCCUCCAUCAUAUAUUAUUCAUACUCACAUCUUCCUACUCACAGCAAUGAUGAUUUCCACCCUUUCAAGUGCAGAAUCAUAACAGCACAUCAGUUAUAAUUUCUAUAGACCAAACCUACAUCCAAUUGAAUCUGCAUAUUUCCCAUUCCAAAAUUCUUAUGGCAUCCGUCAUGGUUUCUUCCCCCUUGUCCCUAGGUUACGUGGCCAAGUGAUGAGUCUUGAGUCUCGAGAAGGCCCGGAAGCAUUAUAUUGCCCCAGUUUUAUGUGUCCAGCCCCCAACACUGGUUGCAUCAUCAUGACAUCCUUUUCACAAAUCUCCAUACCUCCAUGAACCUGUAAACUUCAAGUUCUGAUUACCUGGAUAAUGCAAAAAAUGUUCAAACAUUAAUUAAUACAAAAACUAUGACGUUUGCAAGCCUGAUGAAGCAAAUAAAUCGACUUUCAGAAAGAGUUGUAAACAUGGGGAAAAUAACUCAUCUUAUCAUAGGAUGACAGUGUUCACCAUCGUGGUAAAUGUUGUAUGAUGAUAAAUACAUAGUAUAGCUAAAACUAAACAUGAUCACAACCUACAUGCGAUGUGGAGUGUAAAUUUGGUAGCUUCUGCAUGGUUACAGGGUGCCGAAAGGUAAAAUGUUCUGCGCAUCAGGAUAGCACAAGUAUUGGGCCACUAGUCUCACCAGAUAAUAAGCUUGCAGUAGUAAACUAAUCAGAAGGCCAUAAGGGCAAUAACGGAGACUUUGCAGAAGAAUUUGGGUCGAUUGCCUUCUGCAUUUUUUUAAUAAAAGUAUGGGUCUUUAAUUUGCUGAAAGAUCACAAGUUUCUAAUCAGGCUGGUGAAACCAAUGUACUGAAAAAAAUAACAUGUCAUUCAUUAUACGUCAACAGUAUUAUUUUAUUCUCAGUCCAAAAUGUCAUCUUGGAAUGGCAACACAUGUACUCCCUCAGUUCCAAAAUGUAGGUCGUUUUAGGUUUUCUAGAUGCAUAGAUUUUGAUAUGCAUCUAAAUAUAGGGUUAUGUCUAGAUACAUAGCAAAAUCUAUGUACCUAGAAAAGCCAAAACGAUAUACAUUUUAAAACGGAGGGAGUACUUUAUAUUGGCUUAAUAUGGAUGCAGAUUCCUCCAGAUAUUCUGUUAUUGUAUAAGAGAGACCAUAUGGUUUUCAGAGUCCAAUCAUCAAACAAAAGACCAAAUAUUGGACAAUAUUGGGUUCGAACCAAUGGGCCAAUAAAUGGAUGCAAGAGUAAGUUUAAAUUGGCUAAAACGUGAACAAGGUUUAAUAAUGACUUAGCCAAUUUGCUAGGACUGGUUGUGGAAAAAAUCAACCAAUAAUAUCCUUUUUUUAAAUGAUUUUGUCUGUAGAUGUGAUGCAUAGUCGAAAUAACCAUUUCUAUUUCUAUGCCAAUAGUUGUUAAGGCCAGUAUUAAUAAAACUAGAAUAACAAAGUGGAUGAUUAGAAGAUAGAAAACACAAAAAAAUAUCAAAUCCAUCAACCACUCUAGAAAGCUCAGAAGGGCUGGAAAAAGGGAUCAAUAUUCUAGACUUCAUCAACAGGGUGAACAUACAUUUUAUAAAGAAGUGAAAAUGUCUACUUAUCAUAAAAUGCUUCCUAUGUUGUUUCAGAAUACUAGUCCUACGCUAACCUUAUCAGGCGAAAUGCUCGUUGAAUUAAAUGAUCAUAUCUUAGAAGUAUGGAUAACAGGUGAGAAACAGCAUGAAGUGCAGUACUGGAUCCUUGAUUUCAACCACUAAGCAUCAUGGAAUGACUAUUCACAAUAAAAAUGGGAAAUGCAUUAUGCAGUAGACAUGGAUAUGCUGCAGUGCAAAACAAAUGCAGAAAAUGAAAAUAAUGUUGCCGACUUGCCGGAAGUCGGACCUGGGUCUCUUGGGUGAGAAUCGAGUAACAAGAAUAUUAACCACCUAGACUGCAACAGAUCCUCUCUUGCAGAGCAUUCACAACCAAUUGUAUCAAAGACACCCAGUUCCUCACCCAUCAUCUUCUAUGCAGCACUGCACUUAACUCAGGUUAUAAGAUUUGAGUAUUCAUUCUUGCAAAUGGAGGUUUCGGUUGUCAAAAUAUAUUAGUAUAAAAUGAAUAUGGGUAUCAUUGACCAUUCAACAGAAAGUAAACUGAGCAAAUCACAUUCUUACAAAAUGCUUACACACAGGUGUUAUACUUGCAUGUUACAUCGAGUGAUCUUUUACAAGAUAUUUGAGGUGCGAGUGACCUUGUCAUUUCUUAUAAAGUGCCUUCUCUUCAUAUGCAGUUGAACAAGGCAAGCCGUGAUCUUUUAAGUUUAUAGAGUGUCCUAACUUGACUUGAUAUGCUCAGUCCCAAUCCAGACCAUCAAUCAAUAUAUCACACUUAUAAUCCAUAUGUGACCGCAAGCAAUCAAGAAUGGCCAGAACAUCAUUUACUUGGCUCUUUGAUCUGUUUUCUGCUGUGAAAGUGUAAACUUUGUUGCCAACUUCUAUCCAACUGCACCCAAUGUUUGUUUUCAGCCCUCUUUCUUUCAUUGUCUUCCUCACUCUUGCCACAUCACUCCAGCAGCCAAAGCUUGCAUACAAAUUCGCUAGCUGCACAUGAGUUGCCGCGCAACCUGGUAAAAGCUUAAGACGGUGCUCUGCAGCCUGUAUGCCAAUUGAAACACUUCCGUGCACUCUACAGGAAGCUAGCAGGGAGCCCCAUACGACACCAUUUGGGGGCAUGGACAUCGUCUGGAUAAGAUCCCACGCUUCAUCAAGCAGUCCUGCACGACCAAGGAGAUCAAUCAUACAUGAGUAAUGAUCUAGCUCUGGUUUUAUUCCAUGCUCAAUCAUUUCCAUGAAGCAGUGUCGGCCUUCUGCUACAAGGCAUGCAUGCCGGCAUGACGAAAGCACGCCUAGGAAGGAUAUUGCAUCCGGCAUUAUGUGCCCUUGCAUUUCUUUCAGCAAAUCAAGGCAAUGUUCAGCAAGGCCAUGCUGUGAAUAUCCAAAGAUCAUGGAGUUCCAUGAGAUGAGGUCUUUGCAGGCGAUGCUCUCAAAUAUGGCUCGUGCUUCACCAAUACUCCCACACUUUGCAUACAUUGAUACCAAUGCAUUGGACACAUGCACAUAGGAAUCGAAACCCAUUUUCAGUUGUAGGCCUUGAACGCUUUUACCAAGGGCAAGAAAUGCAUGGUUAGUGCACACACUGAAUAUAGUUGCAAAUGUGAUGUCAUUUGGCUUGCACACAGACUGCCUCAUCAGUGCAAAAAAAUGGAGACAUGGCUCCACCUGAUUAUCCUGGGCAUAACCAGAAAUAAGUGCUGUCCAUGACACUGUGUUUUUUGCCGCCAUGCCCAGGAAAACCAUAUGAGCAUUUCCCAACUGGCCACAUCUUGAAUAAAAGCUGAUCAAUGAGCUGCCAACAAGGAUAGAGGAGUCAUAUCCUACUUUCACUAGUAAAGCCUGAAGCUGUGCACCUCCAGUAAGGGUUUUCCUGUCAGCACAAGAACUCAGCGCAGGUGCCAAAAUAGAUGCAUCUGAACCGAUGCUCCCACUCCUAUGCAGUUCCACUACCUGCAUAAGCAUGUCCUCCUUUGGGAAUCUAGUCUUGUGAGGGUAAACUGAGAUAUUACUUGAGACAACAUUACCACCUUUAGGCCGUCGUUGAUUUGAGCUUGAGUUAAAAAAGUCAUAUUUUCUCUUAUGCAGAACAUUCCGCUUUGACUGAACUCCCAGGAUGUCAUACAUACAGUCAUUGAUAAGGCGGUGAUGGGAUGGAACUUCCUCUUCACCACAAUGGUGCUUGGUUGGUACUAGGUCCAAAACGCUCAAUGCAUUGUGGAUGUUGGCACACCUUUGUUUUCUCGACCUAUCAACUGCUGAGGAUGUGCCAAAAUUUGCCACAACUAGACGAAUUACCGCCAAUGCUGGUAGAACAGCACGAUUUUUGAACCGGCAGAAGAGAUGAUUGGGCAUGACAACAGUGGCAGAUCAAGAAAAACUCCCAUGAGUCCACAUCCGUGAACAGGUUCGGUUUAUAGUACAGCUGCAUCAUAUAUUCGAAAGAAUUAAGUCCAAGAUUAAGCUAGUUGCAAUACUAAUUGUUGAGCAUCGAAUGGUCUUACAUGUAUAAAAGAUUUGAAGUUAUCGAUGGAAAAUUACAGCAUUGCACAAUGUUGUUUCAAUCGCUUUCGAAGUGACUCGGUUAAACUAAUAGAAUAUAAAAAAAAUAUUCCAAGGAAAAUGCGUCGCUCGGCUAUAAAGUCAGUAGAUACUAAUGUAGCAAAUAAAAGACGAACAUCCUUACUCCCUAAUCCCCAUAUCAGAAGAGAAACCAAGGAGAGGAAGAGAGGAGAAUAUACCUGGCCGUGGGUUGCUUCCUGCCGCUCUGCCGGCGCUCAGGUACUGGCGCAGAGCCGCACGCACGGAGUGAGAAGGAGCAGCCGGCUGCCGGCUGGUGGCGCUGUGCUCGCGGCGAACCUCGUAGCGCGACACCGCCGCCGGAGGAACCGCAGGAGACCGUGCAGGACCGCCUGUCCGCCUCUCCUACCGUCUCCUCCUCCCCUCUGCAGUGGUGCUCAUCCGCGGCGUACACCGGCGUCGCCGCGUCGGCCCCGUCAACAUCGGGCGGCGCUACGGCAGAUUGCUUGGACUGGGUGGGAUAGAGAUGAUGGGCCGCGUCCACCUCCGAACGCGUCGGUCGCUCCUGUGUGGCCCGCGGCCCGUGGGAAUAUCGUCGUAGGCCUGGCGUACUACCUGAUGGGCUGCACACUUCACGGUCCCCCAGCCGUGGGCGUGACGACCCACCAGACUCUCAAGAGAUGGGGAAUUUUUUAUUUUUUAUUUUAGUAUUUUGAAAAAUAUAUGGCCUAACAAAAAAUUGAAAUCUAUACCUAUACGAAACAGCGCAAGGUGCACUGUAGCAACUUAACUUACCGUCAGUUGAACCGGCGAUAAGUUCCCUCCUCGGACAGUACACAUUCAAAAAAUCAUAACUUAAGUUAGAUGAAGAUAAACUUUAUAUAAAAAUUGUAGAUCAGAUCUACAACUUUGUAGUUCAAACUUUUUUCAUUUGGUGUCAUAUUGGUACUCAAAUAAUGGACACAAGUUUUAGAUCUAAAAUUCAAAUUUUAGAUGUGAAACUGGGCAGCACAUAUUCAAAAAAUCAUAACUAAUUCAUAUAAACUUGGAUAGAGAUAAGUUUUAUAUAAAAAAUUGUAUCUCUCGAUAAGAUUUACAACUUUGUAGUUUAAAUUGUUUUCAUUUGGUUCCAUAUUUGUGUUCAAAUAAUCGACACAUGUUGAAAAUAGUUCAAAUAAUCGACACAUGUUGAAAAUAGUUCAGAUCUCAGCACAAAGAUGGCACCAAAUGAAAAUAGUUUGAACUACAAAGUUGUAAAUCUCAUUGAGAGCUACGAUUUUUAUAUAAAACUUAUAAGUUUAUAUGAGUUUAUAUGAAUUAGUUAUGAUUUUUUGAAUGUGCCGCCCAGUUUCACAUCUAAAAUUUGGAUUUCAGAUCUGAAACUUGUGUUGAUUAUUUGAGUACUACUAUGACACCAAAUGAAAAAAGUUUGAACUAUAAAGUUGUAGAGCUCAUCGUGAUCUACAAUUUUUAUAUAAAGUUUAUAUCUAUCCGAGUUUAUAUGAAUUCGUUAUGAUUUUUUGAAAGUGUACUGCCCAGAGGAGGGAACCUACCGCCGGUUCAACUGGCGGUAGGUUGCUUCCACCGUUUCAAACGGCAGUAUAGGUAUAGAUUUGUAAUUUUUUUGUUAGGUCAUAUGUUUUUGCAAAAUACUAAAAUAUAAAAAUAAAAAAAAUAGACAUGGGUCACCCGCAGUCCCCCAACCCGAACAAUAGACCUCUCUUUCCCCUUUACUGCAAUUCCUGAGGCGAAAGAGAGGCGAUUCUCCUCCCCAGUGCCGAUCUUGCCGGAUUUUCUUCUCCUCCGGUGGCCCUUGGGUCGCCGGAGGAAAGGGAAUCUUGCAAUUUCGGUAGCUAGUGUGAAUAAUCCCCUAUUACUACUAUAGUUUGCUAGGGUUAGAGUAGGGUUAAGUUUCCCGUUGAUGGCGUUGCCAGUCACCAGUUUUGGAUCCCUCCAUGGCGGCUCUGUUGGCGACUGUGGAGAAGGAUUUGGCGACAGUGCUACAGAGGUUUGUUGUGUCAAGUUUCUCUACUGUUGGUUUUGUUGGAGGGGCAGGUUCCGGUGGUGACCGUUGUUUGUGUGAGCUUGACGACGGUGUCAUAUGCGGAGGUUUUGUUACCAGUGAUAAUUUAUUUGAUGCUUCCCUUUGCGCCGGUGUUCAAAUUUUCUGUGGACUUAUUAGUGCCGUUGGUGCUUGCGACGAUUAAUGGCAUCGUCGACCCCACAUCCCUUGAAACAGGGUGUGGAGGACUCAAGGUGGCCUUACCGAUGGCGAAGGUGACUUGGCCACUGGUGUUUUGUCCCUCCAAGGGGGUUCUGGUGGUACCAGGAUUUCCCUUGAGAGGUUUUUAGUCCACCUUCUCGUAUGUACGGGUUGGUGUAUAUCAAUCCCCCUAGAGGGUCUGCUGUCCGUCGUUCGGGGUUGGCCGGUGAGGCGAAUGACAUCCGAUCUCGACAACGACGAGGAGUCAGCAUUUUUGCCGUUUGCCGGUGCAUUCAGCGGAUCAAUUGCGCACUUAUAGUGUGUUACUAAUCGGCUAUUUAAAAUUUCAACGUUCUUUGUUGAUUCGGGAUACGGCCACGAGCUUCAUCUUGGAUCUUCUUCAUUGCGGGAGAUGGACAAGAACCGGGUUGCGGCAACUACGGUCGGUGACAGCGAAGACCAACGGGUGCUUUGUGAGAGGUAUAUGGUGUAUUUUCUUUCUUAUUCAGGAGUGCCCUGCUCGGAGGCUGGAUAUGCUGCAUGUACAAGCUUUGUUAUCUUAUAAUUAAUAAAAUCCGACCCGUUCUAAAAAAGACAGAGAUGGGUCACCCACUCUCUCUCGCGGGCUCGUGCUUCGCGAAGCUCUCUUUCCGGCUUCGAUUCGGGUGAUGGCUUGCUUCUUUGGCGUCGGAGGAAGAGGGUGGCAGGCUGGCAGUCGGCUGACCUCCCCUUGCUCGUCGUUCCUGCGUCUAAGGCCCGGCCUGAUUUAGGUAGGAGCCGUCCUUUUGGAGUCGUUGCUCUCUAACGCACGAACGCAGUGGUAACUUUCGUGCGGCCAAAACCCGCAAGUUUUGAUAUGCAUGCAUGCGAACACGUAGCGAGAUGCAAAGGACAGCCUUGUAUUUCCGCUGGUACGUCAAUAAAAUUUCGUUGCAGCGCACGACUGCAUGUGAAAAUGUAAUGCGUGUACAUACGUACGUGACAGCCUGGCAGAUGAGAGCUGCUCCCUCCGUCCCAAAUUGUAUGUCGUUUUACCUUUUUUCAUAUUUAUGGAUAUUUGUAUGCAUCUAAAUAUAUGUUUAGAUGUGUACAAACAUCUAUAAACUAGAAAAGCUAAAACGAUCUGUAAUUAUAUUUAGAUGCAUACAAACAUCUAUGAACUGGAAAAGCUAAAACGAUCUGCAAUUUGAAACAAAGGGAAUAGCAGAUAAAAGUUGUGAAAUGAACUUUGACAACCAUCUUGCACAGGUUGCACGUCCACACGUACUUCCCGGAUGACAGGAUCUAUCAGUACAGUAGCUGGUCAGUACUGCGUACGAGUAGAUCAAAAGGUUGAUGGCUGUGUUCGAACUGCCUGUUCCCUGAUUCUACUCCUAUAAAUUAAAAGGAAAGACUGCAGCCUGAUCACAGUAUCGUUAUUUAAUUACCCUAGCUACUUGAUGCAUGCAUGGCUCCUACCGCUUGCUUUUGCUUGUGCAUCGGCCUCCUCCUGUGGCAAAGCUCUCGCCAGCUUGGAGCAGCUGCUGCUGCUUCCAGCUCCGGCUCCGGCUCCGGCGGCUGUGAGUUCGCGUUCGACAUGCUGCACCCGCUCGAUCCGAUUCGGAAGAUAAGAUCGGAAGCGGGGACCGUCGACUACUUCGACGAGGCGAACCAGCAGCUCCUCUGUGCGGGUGCCUUUUUCAUUCCCGUUGUCAUUGACUACCGGGGCCUUGUGCUACCUCGCUAUGCCAACGGUGGUGUCCUAGCCCUUGCCCAGCAAGGUUGAAGUAUUUUUACAUUUGUUAAUUGUUAUAUGGCAAAAUAGGCAAUUUCGUCUCUGAACUUUGCACCAAAGGUCAAUUUCGUUCCUCAACUUUCAGAUUGAUCAAUUUAGUCCCUUAACUUUAACUUUUAUUUUUAGAUCAAACUCGUCCUUAUGCUGAUGUAGUACUCUAUAUUUGCAUAAGACUAAUGCAAAAAGUUAUUUUUGCCCUUGGCUCAUGUAGGUCAAACAUAUAUGUGCUCAUACUCCCUUAAUACAUGCACACAACAAUAUGUUUUUUUAAACUAACAUAAAAUAUGGUUUGUAAAAAGCGUAUCUACUCGUACUCUUUGGAGUCCUUCACGUGCUCAUACAAAUUUGAUAGGCAAAAUAUAUGUGCCCAAACAAAUAUUUACUCAUAUUUGUUUGGUAUAUAUACAAUUUAAUGUGUGCACAUAUACUCUAAAAUCAACAUAUGCUCGCAUACUCGUAGUACGCUAUACCAUACCCUAUCGACAAACAUAUGUAUUCUUGUAUUUAUUUUGGAUCAUACAUUAUUAUAAUUCUAGAGGUGAAAAAUAUAUGAAGGGAGAAAUGAGCCAAGGGUAAAAAAGACUUUUCAAAUUAGUUUCAUGACAAUAUGGAGCCACAUAUCAGCACAAGGACGAGUUUGAUCCAAAAACGAAAGUUGAGGGACUAAAUUGGUCAAUUUGAAAGUUGAGGGACGAAGUUGACCCUUGGUGUAAAGUUCAGGGACCAAAUUGUCUAUUUUGCCUUGUUAUACAGUAUGUUCUGAAGUUUUGAGAAUGAAGUAUAUAGUUCGUUUCAAGAAAAAAAGAAUGAAGUAUAUAGGGUAAUUUCUUUUUUCAGGUACAGGAAUUGUGGGAUGGACUUUCCCUGGAUGCCCCGAAGCGUACCAGAAGUUCAGACAAGGCGAUGUCAUUGCACUAAGGCCUGGUGUUCCGCACUGGUUUUACAAUGACGGCGGCAAUAAUGAACCACUCGAGUUGAUCAUGUUUUUCGACAUAAACACCAACUCUAACCAGCUUCAACCACAGCACAAUGUAAAUAGCAAAGAGAAUACAUGGCUUAUAUAUAGCAUAAUAGUAGAUUAUUAUUAGUUUUUGCUAAGCCGUACGUGAAUGACACCUCAAACAGGAUUUCACUUUCGCUGGUUCCAACAGCAACCGAAGCAGGAACAUCUUCAAAGGACUCACCACCAAGUCCAUAAGCCAGUCCCUUGAGAUCAACCAGGACCUGGCAACAAGACUGCAGGGUCCAAGUAAUGACACUAGAGGCACCAUAGUUCGCGUGCCGAAUGGCCUCCGUCUACGUCUAGCGGCGCAGCUGAAUCUGAACACCACGACCGCGACGCAGUUACAAGAUGAAGAGCAUGAAACAGGGCAGCCGCAGCCGGGACGACAAAGCAAGACCCUUCUGCCGGACAACAAGUACCUGAAUUGCUUGAUGAAGGUGAUAAUGAACUUGGAAGACCCUCAUUCCCGGAGGAUCACACGUCUGACCGGCGACAGCUUUCCCAUCCUCAACUCCCUGGGAUUGAGCGUUGAGAGAGGGACUCUAAAACCGGUACGUACAUGCAUGCCUCUUGACCAUCUACUCCUUCGUUUCAACUAGUAAUUAAUUUGACUUAAUUUAGUGCAAAUUAAUUUGGUUGGAUUUGAUUUAAAUUUAUUGUAUACAUCCACAAAUAUGUACAACUACAGUACACGUGCGUCAGUUGAUUGUGAUCACAUGCAUGCAGAACGAAAUUGUUUCACCAUACUACACCAUCAACGCCCAAACCGUGGUGUACGUGACCGGAGGAAGCGCCCGGCUGCAGGUUGUUGACAACCGUGGGGUGGCAGUGCUGAACGAUGUGCUUCGCCAGGGGCAGCUGCUGGUCAUACCGCAGUAUUACGUCGUCCUAAUAGAAGCAGGUCAGGAUGCUGGGUUCGAAUACGUCGCGUUCAAGACCAACGCGAACCCUCUGAUCAGCCGCAUCGCAGGGCCCGGAUCCGUCCUACGUGGCUUGCCAGUUGGUGUCAUCGCUGCUUCUUAUAAUUUCUCGACGGCGGACGCGAUAAAGAUUAAGAAUAGUCGGGGCAACGACGAACGAGCUGUAUGAAUUGAAACUCUCUGGUGAUUGUCGCUAUGGAUUAUUAAGGCAACGGGCGACGACGAGAUGCAUGUAUUGCCAUGAGUACCGGCUGCUAAAGUAAAUAAAGCAUGGCAUGUGUGUAGCUCCGUGAUAACCGUCCACAAUGUAAUGCAUACUAUAUGUCUACAUAACGGUUAAAAAAAUUAAAGUUUACCUCAUCAGUUUCAAUUUGUAAGUCGUUUUGAAUUUUACAUCUGAACCCAACCUACCUCUAAGCGGAGCGGGCACACCUUUUUAUUAUCGUGCAUCAUUAAAUUUUAUUCACGUAAAACUUUAAACGAGCUGUGGGGCAGCAGAGGAAGGCAAUCUGAUUUAGUGAUUUAAUUUGAUUUAAUGGGGGGAAAAAACGCUAAUGACAACUCGGCAGUCGGCGGUAAUCUUAAUUUGGUUUGCCUGUAUAUUUGGUUUCAAUCAAAAUAGAUUAAUUAUUACUUUAGUGAUAGAUAAUAUGCUCGUCGAUAAAUCAUGAGGUGUUUGAUGAUGUCAUCAGUCUCUCAAAAGUCAGGCAUUCAAAGAAAUAUAUUUGUGUGAAUGCAUGUAUAUUUAUAGAGGUGAAUGUCUCUGCAGGUGUUCUUUCUCAAAUAUAAAUGAAUCUCCUAUUUAUCGAGGGGACGACUGAUAGACACGCCUUCAACGUACAUAUACUGACGCGGAUCAUAAAUCAACGAGCGUUGUGUCCCGUCAUCAACUAACUCCAACGACGUACGUCUACUAUGGUCAGGAAUAAACGCCGCCCCAGGCGAUCGAUGCAGAUUAUCGUUCCGUCUUUUCUAUACCUACCUAACGUUAAAGCAAGUAUUUUUUUUUUCGUCCGUCGUGAUUAUUUUACAAAAAAAGCCCUCAACUUUUAUGGAAUCAACCCGUAGUCCAAUUUUGAAGAGAGGGGAGCUCGGGUGGAAAAAGGAGGGAAGGGAGGGGGUUGAAGGGGAAAAAGCUUCUCCUUUCUUCACCGCUAGGCGCCUGGGCGAGGCAGAGCUGUGGCCGCCGCCGCGGGGACAAGGCGAGGUGGAGCAAAAAGCGCGACCGCCGCCGCCGCAUCUGCAAGCGGACCAGGCGGACUGAGCCUUGGCGCCGCUUGUUCACUCGUCACCAUCUCACCAUGGAAGGGAGCGGACUCCAGCGGCGGUCUCGCAUGGGGGCGAGCGCGGGCGUCCCCGGGAGCUUGGCCGGCCCGCGUGCGGCUCCAUCGCUGCUGGUUUCUGUCGGAGCUCGUCCACACCGCUCCGCUGAGCCGCGCGCGAGGACGGAACCGGCGCUACAGCGUGGAAGGGAGCUCGGCCGCGGAAGAGGCGGGGCCCUGGAAGAGAUGAAAUCUAAGGGUCUUUUGCCGAAUAUUACAACCUAUGUCACACUCACUGGAGCUAUGUAUGCGACACAGAGAAUGCAGGUUGGAGAGAAACUACUGGAGGAUAUACAAGAAAGGGGCCUUAUUCCAUCUAAGCAUUCUGAAAGUCUCGAAAGGAGGAUGGAAGAUGCAAUUAGAAGGUUAAACAUGAUAAGAAACUGCAGAAAGGGAAUGCCUGUUAAGGAGGUUGAGGUAUUGCCUGUAGAAAGCUUCCAGUGAUUGAAAUUCCACUGGAACUUACCAAAGUCAAAUGAAUUUCAGCAUUUGACCAAUAUGGUUGGUAGAAAACUGUGGGUACAUUUCCUGGUUUAUGCCCUGUGGUACUGUGACAUUUUAAUGCGAUUUGCCUUAACAGUUAAUUCAGGUCAGCUUUUGUGUUAUGUAUUUUUAUCCUACUCUUUUUGUCAUAAUACUAUUUCUUCACUUUUAAUCAUCAGUUUGGUGUUUCCAGAAAGACAAAAUUUACCUGGGGAGGAACAUCCCAUAUGCUUGAGCACGGGCAAUUUCCACGUUUGUAUCUUUAUUUGCCUGUGGUUUGUCAUUCAGUACAUAAGAAUGAACAUAGCCAUGCAAUCUGGAGCACACUUACUCACUAAAGAGAACAUAGACAAGUAAGCCACUCUGAAAACCCACAUUUGACUUCUCCUAACGCCUUAAUCUGCAGCAAAAAGAACUCCCAAAAGAGCUUUGUUAUUACUCAUUAGCUCAAAUACUGCGAACAACCACACAUCUUGCAUUUUAUCAGCACAGUUUUCACAACGUUUGAACAAUAAGCUAUCUACAUUCUGUGCUGCAGAGGCCAUCAGGUGGAGGGUAGCAGGCUAACAGCGUCUUGGACUCUUGGUCCGAGGCAGGGGCUACUGAACGACAGACAGGGACAGCAGGCGGUGGAAAUGCUGUCUCGAGCUCAACAUGUGCUUUCACUUGUUGGAGGUGAGUAGAAGUGUUGCCCCACUUGUGAUUUAAAUCUAUGAAUCAGAAAAUUUUCAGGUUUCAUCAUGUUUUCAUUCACAGGAUAUGUCUCCUUGGAUAGACUAUUAAGUGCUAUAUUUCUGUUGCAGUGAGAAUGUACUCCUCGCAGAGGUUCAGUAUCAAUCUUAUGUUCCAAUUACCAGGAGCUUUUUAAAUGUCUGUCACUCGAAGAGAAGAUCUUGGAUGGACAUUCCAAUGUAUACGAUUUACAAGAUGGAUGGCCAUCACGCGUUCACUUAGUCAAAUGCUUAUGGUUUCUUGUUGGAUCAUUUGUUUCGAUCUCUGAAGCUGUCUCUGCAACAAAGGUAACCCAACCCCACUGGUUUUAUGGAACACCAAAGGAUGAUCAUCUUAAUGUUUAGGACAGAAAUACUGCCAGAUAUAAUUUCCCAAUAUACGAUCAAUUUUCUGCCUUAUGCUAGACUUUAUCGUCAACCUAUUUAGUUUGGCAUCUUGCAUACUUUCUCACCAGUAAAUCUAAAUUGUACUUCUUGUUUUAAAGCAACAUUGUUGUAAAUGCCCAACCAUUAGAUGGAACCAUUAGUUCAUCCGGCGGCAAAUUCUUCAUUAUCCUAUUGUUAAUAUACUGUUAAAAAGUUACUGCUCCUAUUACUAUGUAUUUUGCUUCUUGGAGCAAUAAGUGUCUGAUAAUAUCUGAUUUGUUGAUCAUCAUUAAAGCUAUUUUUCAUUUUAUAGUCAAUGACUCAAUUUGUGUUUCAGAUAAAGGAAAAUUUACAAGGCAGAAUAUUAAGAUUUCAGACAAAACGCUGGACGGUACCUUGGACUGGAAAAACCAUUGCUCAGGUUAGUUCUUCCAUGCAUCUUCUGAUGUUCGGUGUUUCCCCCUCUGGCUGUUGCACUAAUGCUCAUUGGCAGCUUAUUUUUUGUGAUUGAAAUUUGAAUGACAUGUUUUUUCCACUAAGGGCCAUGCCCGAAUUUCAUUACUCCAUGAAGCAACGAAAUUACAGAGUUUGUCUAGAAGACCGCACAGUUCAGAUAGAGAACAAAUGACUAAGAGACACUAGGCAAACUUGGCAUACAGGACCCGCCACCUGUGCCACAAAAGCUACCCAGCGAUCACCAGAUACUAAGUGAUACCAACAGAAAAAAGAAAGAAAGGAAACACCGAACGCAACACAACUACAUCUGAUUGAAAAUGGUAAAAGCUUUGGACGAUUUUUCGAGCAGAAGAUGACAGGCUUCAGCUACUGGGUCAACACCACCCUGUGUCUUCGGUUGUGGCCUUCGUAGGAUGAAAGUGAAGUGCCGCUUCCUUCAGAGCUUCAGCUCCUGUUUCCAUAUUCUCCUUGUCUUCUACUUUUUGCAGACCUGCCCAAUAUAUCAAGAAAGAAGAUGUGAACAUAUAAUCUCUUGUACCUAUUUUUGUUAUUAGGAAUCACUUGCUUAAAUAAAAAGUGUAAUAAGUAUGAGUAGAAAAAGUAUGUUAAGUCAAAAUUCUAUUGAUUUUCUAGCAAAUGUAUAAUAGUAGAAAUAUAAAAAUACAUGAGGUCUAGUCUAAUAUAAUGCAUGCAACUCGUAACAAUGUUAGUUAGGCCAACGGCCGGGUACAUCUGAUCCUAUGUGCACAAUCGCGAUGCAUGCAUGGACGGCCAAAACAGGAGAGUGCACAGUUUGACAUGCAGGCAUUGCGAACACGUACGAAAGACGAUAAUUUCUUUGUAGCCAGCGACAGUGCAUGGAAAUACAGUGCAUGCAUAUAUGGUCACGUACGUAUGCACGGGUCAGAUGUAGCCAGGUUAAAUAAAAGUCGUGCGAAAUUUGAGAACUGAUGGAACAAAAGCAAGUGCAGGAGCAGAGAGAACUAACAAUAUUCAUAAUGUAUUGUCUUAGUAAUUGGCCAACAAAAAAAACAUAUAUGCUAAUUUUUAAGUUGUAGAAAUUAACAUGUUAACCACAGAUGAAACCAAAAUAAUGCCCUUAUACAUGUUGAUAAAUUAUCCAGCAAAAAAAAAUGCAAAUGCCCUUGUAUGUAGACCUAUUUUUUAUUAGGAGUUGAGUAGAACAACUACUGUGGCGAUAAUGAACGCUGAUGAUGAAGCAAAUUGAUCUGCUGGGAGCAGGACAUGAGAGUGAAACAAAUGAGAUUUGAGAAGGAACCAUGCUUGAAGUGCGUGUGCUAUACUGCUGCUAUCCAUGGAGUUUGCUGCCCUACGGUGGAAAAUGUAAAACCACGUAUACAUGUGACCGCAUGGUUUAUCUCAACCGUUGAUUUCUUUCCAUCUAACCGUUGAUCCACUAUCUACUCCAUGUAUUUCUCACCUACCCAUAAUCCAUCUCACCAUUGAUUCAUAAAUAAUUAGUUUGGAUAGCUUAUUCUAUGAUGGAAAAUGUAAAACCAUUUGUACAUGCUCUGUGGUAGUGCAUAGUACGAUAAGAUAAUAAUGCUGAAUACAAGCAGCAGUCACUUUGAUCUGGUAUACGUACGUGCAUACUGCUCGGAUGACAAGAGUCCAUCAGUGGCUGACCAAUUGCAAAACGUAUACUACGUACGUCUAGGCUCUCCCUACCACAAAACGGAAAUUUCGUAGAGGAGCACCAUUUUCAUGAGAGUAACUAACAACUCUCAUGAAAAUGUUUGUUUUCGUGGGUCGAUGCGUGCGUUCCCAUGACGUCGCAGGGCAUUUAAGAUCCAGUGGAGAUAUUUUCCAAUUUUCAGAUUUAAAAAUACAUAUAAUAACUAUUAAUCCUAUUACCUCCUUACAGGUAAUAUGUCAUUAGAUCGACGGUCCAAGGUUAUUUGAGAGUGCCUUAGCAAAAUCCUUGUAUAUAUAUUUCAUUUAUGCAUUUCAACUCGUUGUAGGUUAUACUUACUCGGUUAAGAAGUUUACAGGGUUUUCAUUAUUUUUCAGGGAGAGGUUUUGUUGGGGUCACCUUCCCUGGAUGCCCGGAGACCGAUUCACGCAAGGUGAUGUUAUUGCAGUGCCGCCCGGUGACCGGUGUUCCGGUUUGGAUUUACAACGACGGCCAGCAGGCUAACCAGCUUGAGCCACAGCACAGGGUAAUGAGAGGACGGAUCGAGUAAUGCAAGGUGCUAUCCGCAUAAUUAACACGUUAAUCGCGCGCCGCAUGCAAGGAUUUCAAUCUGGCUGGUUCCAACGGGAACAGAAGCAAGAUCGGUGUUCAAGACCGACGCGAACCCUGUGAUCAGCCGCAUCGCAGGACGGGGAUCCGUCCCGCGGGGCUUGCCGGUUGGUGUCAUCGCCGCUGCGUACAAUGUCUCAACGAGUGACGCGAUGAAGAUAAAAGAAUAGUGGAGGGAAAAACGGAAGAAGAAAAAAAGAGUGGGGCGGAAACAAAAAGGGGGUAUGGAGUUGGAAGGAGGGCUGGGUGCAUCGCCCACGCUGCCCCACGUAGAAGGCCUUUUCGAGGCAAAAAGCCCAUAGAAGGCUCAGGCCCAUUUCCCCUACUCUCAACCCCGAAGCGUGGUUCCAGAGGUUAGAAAACAGAUAUGGGGCUGAGGCCCUGUUUGGAUACAUAAUGCCAAACUUUAGCACAGUGCUAAAGUUUAGCACUUGGGGUUGUUUGUAUACAGUGCUAAAGUUUAGCACAUUAGGUGAGAAAUAACUACAUUACCCUCAUUUAUAAUUGGCUUGGGGAAAAGUGGAGAGAAGAGAGGGGGGCAGCAGGGAAAAAAAGGGUUUGGGACCACUUUUAGCACCCAUUAGCACCUUUUGGGUGUGCUAAAGAAAAUGGGGUGCUAAAUUUUAGCACACUCCUUUUAGCACCCCUGCUUGGAAGCCCAAGUGCUAAAAGGUGCUAAAAAGUGGGGUGCUCCAAAUAGGACGGUCUUGACGUCCGUACAGAGGGAGGAGAAUGGCGUUUUUGGCAUCCUUGGGUCUUCACGUCCGGAAGGUCCGUAUCUUGGAGCAGCAGCAUGCACUUUGUUAAGAAAACCACUGCCCACGCGAUCCGUUAUCAGUUCCUCUUCUCGGUGAAUUUUGGGCCUGGCGUGGCGUAUGCGUUGCUUGUUAGGUUUGGUGUCCGAUAUGCUCAAGUGGCAAGCCAACAAACCCGUUCCUCCUCUUCAAUCUACGCCACAAGAACCAUCAAUCUCCAAUGCUCCAUGGAAAAAAAAAAGAAGAACGACUGAUUUCGCGUUGACCAAUUUGCAGGGAGCCGCUUUCCAUGGUUGCCCCCAAACACCUAUAUGCAUCUUCAGCUUUUCCUGCAACCCUUUUUGAUGCGGUCCUGCUACCCCAAGAAGAAGGAAAACAUUUGCAUGUGCAAGUGGAAGCAUGUGUGGUAUAUAGCCUAAAAGUUCGUAGCGGUUUCCAUUUUUUUUUCAGCUUUUCUACGUGCCCCCGCCACGUGAGAGCGAGCAGCCAAGGAAUUUCAAGGACCAGCAGCAGCCCGUGUGUGUCUGCCUCUUUGCUGCGAUCGCAGGGGGAGGGAGGCGGCUGCCAGGCCCAGCUGCGGCCUUUUGCUCCCCCGGCACUUCUUUUUUUUUCCCUCCCUCCCUCUUCCUUUAGUCACUUGCAUCUUUUAAUUGAAUUUUGCUAUUUAAUUUGGUUUCCCCGAUUUUUAACCAAAGUCUAGUAUUUUUUUCAAAACACAAUAUAAACGCAGACGCACGCGCUUACUUUCAUGAAUACAUGGACGCAUCACUAUCUCUACGAGCACAUUCAAGGGAUUGAGCCAGCAGAUCUCGAAAUACAUGUGUUAUUUUCUAUGAAUUUCAUGUGUAUAUAUUUUUCUCGGCACUCAUAUAUAUGGUAUAUCCAUGUCGCACAAUCCAACGCAUCAAGUGUGCUGACACGUUUGUACUCAGUAGGAGUAGGAGCUAAGCUGCAAAAGUUAGCGCGCGGACGACGACAAUUAACAUGCCAGCAGGAUUAAGCAUCAAUGGCUAUGAUUAAGCGAACCAUGCGGACUAAUUGCUUGCUCUCCCUCUCGACAUGAGUACGCUUCAAGCAUGCAUGCAUAUAGGAUUCGCACGGCUCCGUCGAGCCAGACAGAUCGAUACACACCAACGCUACUUUUUUUUUUGUUGCAUUCAUAUUCUUUUUAAAUUUGUUGGAUAUUCAGAUACUUAAUUAGCUUGCUUGCAAGGAAUGGAUGCCAACCUUGCUGGUAUGGCCUUUGCGUAAUUAUUCUCAACGCCGGCCAUCGACCGGAGGGAGACGCAUCGCGGGGUGGGCUCCAAUCGUGCCAUGCCUCAUUGUCGCCACGGGCUGAACAUCUCUCGGGAAACUUGUGCGUUUCUUUCAAGGAUCUGCAUGCUUUGAUGAGCUGAUCGGUAAGCUAAGCUGGUGCAGAGCAAGCAGCUACGAGAAAGAAGCCAACAGAAACGCGGCACGUGACGGCAAGCAGUGUCGACAGCAUCGUCUCGAUGCACGGAACGGCCAUGCAUCGCUCGCCAAAUUUUACAGAUCGAUCGUGCUAUACACACAGUCACAUACACGUGACGCUUAAUUAGAUUUGAUCUCAUCUUUGGAUGCGUGAAUGAUUGUUCACGCGAGCAUCUUCCUCGAACCAGGAACAGAAAUGGGGAUGAAGGAAGUAAGGGCGUCAGCUCGAUCCACACUAGAUGGUAAGUGCGUGCUGCCAAUACAGCUCCACCAAAUACAAUGCCCAUCUAUCUAAUCAUGUGGAUCGACUGCCGCUCGACAGGGACACGAGUUCAUCACUUCACUCUGCUGCAGCAGAUCCGGAUUUGGCCUGGCGACCGCGAUUGCGCGUCCACCAAAUCACUUGUUGAUCCAACUCAGAUCACGGUAAAUUAAAAAUAAGCCGAGGCGGAUGGAUGUGGGAGCCACGUCCACGUAGUGGUAAAUCUAUAAUUUUUUUUUUACAGUUUCUGCCCACAGCAGUUUAACUCGAUCUUGCAGCAGGCGCAUCCACAUCCCCUGACCCGUGCAUUUGUUUAAGGUAGAAUCCUGGGAACGGACCGACCAAAUUUGCAAACCGAAUGUAAUUUCGUGCAGAUCAAAUGUGCGUGUUCCUCGCAAAAAUGAAGCAUACGGAAUUUGCGUGCAGUCGUAUUUCCAAAAAAGAAAAGAAAAGAAUUUGUGUGUAGUCUAGCUCAUGGGCUAGCCACUAGAAGUACUGAGACGGGAUUACGAGUGCGUCUGGGAUCCUGAGCCAGGCGAUCCAGCGGUAGGAAGAUUAUUGUAUGCCCUUGUUCACUUCCUACAAAACUCUCAACUUUGGCACUAUGCAAAAAGAAGAUUCCCCAUCACAUCAAACUUGCGGUACAUGCAUGAAGUACUAAAUGUAGAUGAAAUCAAAAACUAAUUGCACAGUCUUAUUGUACUUUGCGAGACGAAUCUUUUGAGCCUAAUUAGUCAAUAUUUGGACAAUAAUUCACAAAUACAAACGAAACGCUACAGUGUUGCUACAGUAAUUUGGCACCUCCCAAAUUCACAAAGUAAACAAGGGCUAUGUUAUACCCGUUGAUCUCCAUCUCCUCUUUUUCCCCAUCCAUCGAUGAGUGCACUGCAGAUUACGCCACCUUGGCUGCCAUGGCGAUCCACCGCGUCGUGCUCUAGCAGCUUGUAGUCAACGAGCACAAAAGGCUCUUUGGCUCGUUACACUUUUACACAGGCAGGACGCAGGAGACCCAGAGCUGGAUUACCGAGUCAGCGCAACGGCCGAACGUUACAGACGCCGGGGCGGCAGCGGCCGGACGCGAUCCCGGCGACGUGACGCGCCAACGGCAAGCCGGCGUCCGCUUGCUUGUUACCGUUCGGGUGGGGGCUGGCGGCUGCAAGGCUGGAUGGGCGCCGCCGCAGAACGACACGGCAGUCGGCGCCGCACUAGCUGGCGGCUGGCCUCCCUGCCCGCCGGGCUCCUCCUCCACGUAUGAUGCAACGGUGGACGACUGCGCAGCGCGCGCAGGUGCGCAGCCCAGCCCGCGCGUCCGUCCAACCCGGAAGCGACCACGCGAAAAACCACGGCGACCGCAUCGCCUCGCUCACGCCGCUCCCCCUCCUCCCCAGCACACCCAACUGCCCGCCCACUCACACUGUCGUGUCACCCUCCACACUCUUCCUCCUCCUCGCUCCAGCGUCGUCCAUCCCCUGACCUCCCUACCGUUGCCACCCCGGCGCACGUGUCCCCUCCCUCCCUCGCCACUUUCUCUCACCCUCUCUAAAGCGGCGGCAUCCUCUCUAGUCUCUCUCUCCACUUCUCCAGUCCCCCACCUCAUCACUCUCCCCAAUCUCUCCCCGCCUGCUCCCCUCUCUGCAGCUCUCGAUCGCUUGCUUCUCGGGCCGGGCUCCCAUGCCCCGCGGCUGAUGCGCGCCUGGCCCCAUGCCACCAAUGCCGGCGCCCGCCAUGGCCGCCAGAGCCGCGCUCUCGCUCGCAUUGCCGGCGCUGCUCCACCUCGUACUCCUCCUGCGGCUCGCCCCUGAGCCGGCCGCCGCGGUGCGCUUCGACUACGCCACGCUCACCCUCGGCAGUCUCCGGCUCCUCGGCGACGCGCACCUCAAGAAUGGCACCAUCCGCCUCUCCCGCGACAUGCCCGUCCCGACCUCCGGUGCCGGCCGCGCGCUCUACGCCUCCGCCGUCCCCGUCCGCGCCGGCUUCUCCACCCAGUUCGCCUUCACCGUCGCCACGCUCAACCCCUCCUCCGUCGGCGGCGGCCUCGCCUUCGUUGUCGCCGCCGACGACUCCACCGUCGGCGACGCCGGGCCCUACAUCGGCGUCUCCACGGCCACCGACGCCGCCGCCAUCGAGUUCGACACGCUCAUGGACGUCCAGUUCGGGGACGUCAACGGGAACCACGUGGGCCUGGAUCUCGGCUCCAUGGUCUCCGCCGCCGUCGCCGAUCUCGGCGAGGCCGGGGUCGAGCUCACCAGCGGGAGGACCGUCAACGCUUGGAUCGAUUACCGCCCCGAUAAAGGGGGGAUCCUGGAGGUGUCCGUGUCCUACGCCGCCAAUCGGCCGCGGGUGCCGGUGCUGUCCGCGCCGCUCGACCUUGGGGAGACCGUAAAGGACGCGGCGUUCGUCGGCUUCUCGGCGUCCACGCAGGGGAGCACGGAGGUGCACGCGAUCGAGUGGUGGAGCUUCUCGACCGCGUCGCCGGCGCCGGCGCCGCAUUCGGCGCCCACGCCGCCGCCGGAAUCCCCGGCGGUUGAGCCUCCGCCGAGCGUUAACCCGGUGCUUCCUUCGCCGCUGCUCCCGGGAGUCACCACGCCGUCGCCGCCAGCCGCGACGGUCUCGGCGCCGACCAGCUCGAUUUCGGCGGCGAGCGCCCCGUCGAACGCCGUCGCGGGGAAUGCCGGCGGCUCGACGCACCCGCCCGCGCACGCGGCCGUGGCCGGCGCCGCCACGGCGGGCGCCUUCGUGGCGGCCUCGUUCGCGGGCUUCGCGCUCUGGGCGCUGGCGCGGCGCGCGAGGGCCCGGAAGCGCACGGCGCUGGCGGUGGCCACGAAGCGCGACGGCCUCGCGUCCGUCGCGGCGUUCGCGCGGUCGCCGCGGGAGUUCAGCUACAAGGAGCUGAGCGCCGCCACGCGCGGCUUCGACGUGUCCCGCGUCAUCGGCAACGGGGCAUUCGGCACCGUGUACAAGGGCAUCGUCCCCGACACCGGCGCCAUGGUCGCCGUGAAGCGGUGCACGAACGCCAGCGCCAGCGCCAACGGCGAGCAGGCGCGGUCCGAGUUCCUGUCCGAGCUCUCCAUCAUCGCCGGACUCCGCCACCGCAACCUGCUCCGCCUCCAGGGCUGGUGCUACGAGAAGGGCGAGAUCCUGCUGGUCUACGACUACAUGCGCAACGGCAGCCUCGACAAGGCGCUGUUCGACGCCUCGGCCCCCGUCCUCCCGUGGCAUCACCGCCGCGAGAUCCUCGCCGGCGUGGCGUCGGCGCUGGCGUACCUCCACCACGAGUGCGAGCGGCGCGUCAUCCACCGGGACGUCAAGUCCAGCAACGUCAUGCUCGACGAGGCGUUCCGCGCGCGGCUCGGCGACUUCGGCCUGGCGCGGCAGGCGGAGCACGGCGAGUCCCCCGACGCCACCGCCGCCGCCGGCACGAUGGGGUACCUGGCGCCGGAGUACCUGCUCACGGGGCGCGCCACCGAGGGCACCGACGUGUUCAGCUUCGGCGCGCUGGCGCUGGAGGUGGCGUGCGGGCGGCGGCCGAUCGGGACGGAGGGCCGGUGCAACAACCUUGUGGAGUGGGUGUGGAGCCUCCACGGCGAGGCCCGCGUGCUGGACGCCGUGGACCCGCGGCUGGGCGGCGAGUUCGAGGAGGGCGAGAUGCGGCGGGCACUGCUGGUGGGGCUGGCGUGCUCGAGCCCGGAGCCGGCGCUGCGGCCCGGGAUGCGCGCCGUCGUGCAGAUGCUGAGCGGCGAAGCGGACCCGCCGUUCGUGCCGGCGGCGCGGCCGUCCAUGAGCUUCAGCGCCAACCACCAGCUGCUGCUCAGCCUGCAGGACAGCGUGUCCGACUACAACGCCCUGGGGCUCACCCUGUCGGACUCGUCGUCGGACUCACUCAGCUCGUCGUCGCUGACAAGCACGCUGCGCAGGGGCGGCCACGACAUCGGGUUCAGCAGCACCGCCGGCGAUGCCAGGUGAGCUGACCUGGCCGAGGCGGCGGCGCGCCCCGGUGGCGAGCGGAAAUCCGACCGGCUCCCAUAACUAGCUAGAGUUCCUCUUCCUUGUCGAUGGCCAUUGCGAAAACAGAGCACAAUGCUCUUCCUUGUCGAUGGCCAUUGCGAAAACAGAGCACAAUGUAUGUAUUGAAGUACAUAGAUUAGCAGCAUUGGACUCCAAAGUCCAAACCAAAGCCUCCAUUUGUAAAAUUUGUCUCAAUAAUGAUUCAGAAUUCAGAUUAUUCAUUCCCUCGUCACUCGUUCAGUUCAUUUCAGUUCAGCGGCGUCCUCGGAUUGCAGCGCAAAACGCCACCUUUCUUCUCUUCUCUCUCGAGAUAUUCUGCAUUGUGAACAAAAAGGAUUUGCUUUCUCUGAUCCUACGAUGACAUCACCACAAGGAUCGGCGAAAUAUCUAUCUUUACAGGGGAAGGAUUGCUUGCAUUGGUGUGCGAUCCUGUGCUUGGGCAGCCGGGCAGCAGCAACAAGAAGAGCUGAGCUGGCUGGCGCAUGGCACGGAAAGCAUCUAUCUGUCUGUCGAAUUUCAAUCCAAUCCAUGGGCGAGCAGCGAGCUAGUCUUCUUCUUCUUCUUUCGUCUUGCGCUUGUGCACACAUGGCGUGGAAGCCAUCCAUGAUGCGUGUCACCAACCGAAAGUCGCCGCCAUUAGUCCACCACUAGCAGGAGCACUAAUCCUAACACCAGUAUACCCCUUUCUUCCCUACUAGAAAAGCACCACUGGUCGCUCUCACUCGCACCAACUGAUGCCACUGUGAGCACGCAUGGGGAUUGUCGACAUCCAGGUGCCCAAAAUCAUUGGCCUACGACUUGGCUAUCCCGUGAACUCGAUCAAGGACACUGUCAUGUGAGCCCGGCGGCUGAAGAAGCCGGUGUGCCGGCACAUAAUUUUUUUUCUCAGGUAAGCCGGCUGGUUCGGUGGUUUCCGUGUGCCAUCAGCUUAGAACACCCGCGCGUAGGCCUACGAGCCAUCCGAUCGGCCCCGUCAGCGUGGCGUGCAAUCCGGACCGUCCAAUGUUACCAUGAUUAGAGUUGGGAGGGACCGAGGGAGCAUGGGCCAGUCAUCAGGCCAUCAGAUUCCAUGAGCAAUGGAUGUGCUAACCUCCUACGAUGCGGAUGAUGAGAUAGUACUAUCUCAUUUGGAUGCUUCCGUGGUAUUGCAUUGUACUUGUCAACACAAAUUGCAAAGCGGUAGGGGUAGCAUCACUGGCGACGGGUUGAUCGAUGCUCAUCAUCAUCAUACGUUUUCCGACGGCAUCUUUGAACACGAUCCGGAUUCGGACUGGUGGUGACGUGGCAUGUGAGUGGCAGAUUGGUAGCGAAGAAUGAAGUUGUCGUGGAGGGAAUCGAUCGGGUUGCAGCUUUCCUCGGAGCGGACCACGGGCAGAGGGGCGGUGGUACAUCGAGUUUUUGUGAGCCAGUCGGGACGGUGAAGAGUCGCCGUCCGGCUGGGAUUAACGCGCGUAAUUUGAUGGUUGGAAUUUGGAAAAGGAGGGAGGGCCUAGCGGUCAUUAAUCACCUUGUUUUUCGUAGGUUUCGGUAGGAAUGGUGGCUGACGUGGACACCGCAGCCGCAGGGUUUUCUUCAGCAGUGUACAUGCAAAGUAGCCAGGUCUCGUAUUUUUCCAGUUUCUAGGCUUUGCUCCUCGUCUGUCUGUGCUAUAGCGACCGGCGAGGGAAUACAAGUGACGCAGGAGUAUUCGAAGCGGGAGUUACGAUCCACUGUAGGUUGGCACGCCCGCUCGCCUGGCGUGUGUCGCCAUGCGAGAGGAUAGCGGAGGACGGGAAUGAUACGCCACAAGUGCGUUGGUGGAUGGAAUUGGAUAGGGAAGGGGAGACAAAUAAACUGAUGCGCUAUCCUGCUCAGCAGCACGGUGUGGCUUGGCUCACCCAAGGCCUGCCACUGAUCUCAUCUGGACACUGCCCUGCCACGAAGCGAGUUUCUUUUCUUUUUUAUAAAGCUUGGCACGAAACAAGUUGCAAAAGACGUACUGGUAGGAAUACUGUCGCUCGCGCGACGGGUCAUCACGUCUCACCGGACGCUUUGGCUACAUCUUCCAUCCAGGCGGCGCAGACGAAGGAACCGUGGCUCUGCUUGAGGGGAGAACAUGAAGAAGACCUCCUCAGAACCGUCCGAAAUUCCGACGUGCUGGCGUGAGAUGGACCCCCGAAAGGAGGAAUGAUAAUACAGAUUUCUCACAAAAAGCGCAGAAAGAGAGAGGGAGCCGGGGCGUGGGAACUUUGCGAGCUUUUGGUGUAGCGUCGUUGUCGCCGGGCUGCUGGGAUCAACGCUCGUAUUACCUACCUGGCCGCUGCGUGUGGGGUUGAGAAGGAUUUUAUGGCGCUUGCCUUUUACUACAGGCUUCCUUUUCAGAAGGCCCAAAGAUUUGGCGGUUGCUGAAGUGGACAAAAGAUAUCGCUGGGCUCUCUUUAUGCGAGUCACAAACUACCACUAGUCGACUAUUACUACACUCGUCGUGCUAAUUCUCACCGAAUGGAUAGCUGCCUUGCUGGCCCGCACAGGAGAAAGAAGAAAAAGAAAGGGACCAUAGUCUCCCAAGAAAUUUCACGGUAGCUCUCGCACCAGUAACAUGGAUGCCCGUGUAUUUUACCGAUACCGAGUAACCCCACAACACGUACGAGUUGUCGAGUUCACUUGAACGGGCAGUCAAUCUCAGUAUUGUUGUGGCAGGACGCCAGGACCAGGCACCGGGACACACCAGCCCGCACCACAUGUUCACCGUACCGUACUGACACGGUGCCGGGACCUGCAACUGCGCGCAUCUCUGUGCCGUGGCUCACAGUACGUGGUGUGCCACUGCCAUGGCAUGGCAGGUAGGCAAGGGAAGCCACAGCUCCAAUUCACGGCUGCUCUUUAAUGACGCACGCAGAUGGGCUUCAAUUCAUGGGGUUUCCGGUUUCCCUCACUUCACACUUCGGGCAGACGGGGACGCCGGCGAGAAUUUUCGGCGUAUUUAUUGGGGCCUCAACUUACCACUAGCAUAUAUAUUCUGCAAGAUCCACAGAGGUGAGACUUCUUUUAAGCCAAUAGGCCCGGGGCGAUAGGGCAUUAUUACGUAGCCCGAUUCCAUGGAUUCUUUUUCGCCAUAUGGAGUAACAGAUCUCACUGUAUGGCCGGCCGGCCAUUGGCCACCCAGUAGUCCUGCACCGCAGGCUGAAAAGGACCGCAGCGCCCACUCUGCAGUCUGCACUACAGCCUCUCACAUGUCCUGCAGGCCUGGAUCAGAAUUUAGAAAGGACUACUAUGAUCAGGUAACAGUACAAUUAUAAUGUGCCAGACAAUCCCUUUGCAUUGAGCCUAUAGAAAGCAGUUUCUUUCCUUUUUUUUCCAUCUCUUUUACAAUUUUACUUCUUGUCAAAACCUCAAAAUGGCUGAGUUGUUUUGCUACCACAUUCAGCAGCAUGCCACCAGAGACCAGACAGAUCAGACCCCUAGACAACUUGUUGUACGAUGUAACCAAUCCGUCGUGGCCACUGUCUGGAAAACCAAGUAGGCAUCCAGAUAAAACCGGCCAAAAUUGGAACAAUAAACGUAUGAGCUUAUCAAGCUCAACCCAGCUGACAGCUAGUUUCUAAGUGCAGCGCAGGUAAAACCCAGCGUGUUUCAAUGCAAUGCCAUGCAGAUCUCGUUAGAACAGAAAAAUCAGCAGCAAUUGUUUCUAGAAUUGGAACUUCGCAAGGUAAAGACGAUAGAUCCAGCGUUGCAUCCAGCGCAUUAGCUGGGACACAGAUCCUGGAAGACGCAGAGAGCUUCUAAGUUUAGGACCCCUAUGACCCUAUUCUUGGCUCAGCACAUUCUCCGCCGCAAAGGCAUGGAGAGGAUGAUCAUCCCAUUUGACCACAUUUCCUCACAGGGGUCACAUUUUCCGCGCACAAAGCACGAACAACAAUCGAUAACCUGGAUAGGAGAUCUUUAGCACAAGGAGGGAGGAGGCUGCAUAUAAAACUCUCACCCCGUGCUGCCAUUCUCAACACAACGAGGUCUGUGGAUUCGUCUGUGUGUGUUCUAGAGAGAAGGAAGAGGUUUACCAACUGCAGGAGCGGAGAGGAAUAGGGAUUCAAGGUUGCAUACAUACAGUUGGGGGAAGAUGAGCUGCUUCGCAUGCUUCAAGCCUGAGAAGAAGAUGCCGUCGAGGAGGGCGGAGUCGAGGGAGGUCGCGGUCGUGAGGAAGUCCACGAGCCAGAAUGAAGCGCCUCCCAGGGAAUCUGGUAAGAAUAAUAAGAUGCUCCUGCCACUGCUUGAAAACAAAUAAGGAAUUAGUUUGUUUUGUACUAUUCCAACUGAUAGCAUAAACUACGUUGAUUGGCAGCAGUGUCAAUUAACAGGCCAAACAAUCAUAAGUAGCAAAUUAAAUACAAUGUAUUAGUGAAGAUCCCUCACUACGUCCUCUUCUGCACAGCAAUGUUUUUGAAGUUGGAUGCCAGUGGUUAAAUAAUACACUGUACCAAGUUCAGUGAUUUCUUGCAGAUGCCUUUUAGGCCUCCAAAUACCGACCAUUCAGAGCAUCUGUGUUUAAGGCAAACCACACCCCUGUGCCACAGUAUUCCCUUCUGGAUAUAUGUGUAUACAGUAUACUCCUCAGAAAGUCUGGAUCGAAUCUUUGUAGCAAUUUUCUUAUGCACUGUCUCCUGCCAGUGUCACAUGCAUUUUGGUGUUAUACUUGCCCCUGCAAUUUAUGUCUAGUUCUAAACUGUCAUUGAUCAAAGGAAGUGACUUUCACUAAUAUAACAUGAAUUAUUGCAUCCCAUUCAAAUUUGGUCAGCAAAUGACAACAACAACUAGAUCAACUAAAUAAGUAGAAAAUAGAAAAUCUGUCUAAUGUAUGCUACAACUCACCUUUGCAGGGUCUAUCAAGCCAUCAAUAGUCUCUUCAAAGCACAAGCACAAGCCAUCAUCUGAAACAUCAACAAGUAUCGAACCUCCUAAAGGAAGCUGUUCUGUUGCCAAAACCGCAAAAGCAUUCACUUUCCGUGAGCUGGCUACAGCCACAAAGAACUUCCGUUCUGACUGCCUUCUUGGAGAAGGGGGCUUUGGUAGGGUCUACAAGGGCAAGCUUGAAAAUGGGCAGGUACACACCAAACCAGCAAGCAUUCAAACAUUUACGCCAGGCACACUUGAUUCAUCUUCAGUAAUCAGUGGCUGACUUAUUUUUUCGUUUGCAUUAUCAGCUUGUUGCUGUCAAGCAACUAGACCUGAAUGGGUUUCAAGGCAACAGGGAGUUCCUAGUUGAGGUCCUGAUGCUCAGUCUACUGCACCAUCCAAACCUGGUCAACUUGGUAGGCUAUUGCGCAGACGGAGAUCAAAGGCUUCUGGUGUACGAGUACAUGGCGCUUGGUUCACUCGCAGACCACCUGCUUGGUAAGUGUUAGUCUUUCGUCUUCGAUAGCGCAUUCAGAUAAUGGCCCCUUAGCUGUAAUUUGGUGAGCUAGAUACUUAAAGAAGUUCAAAUUUGAAUUGUCAUUGCAGAUACCACUCCUGAACAAGUACCACUGAGUUGGCAUAUUAGGAUGAAGAUUGCCCAUGGAACUGCUAAGGGGCUAGAAUACCUCCAUGAGAAGGCGAACCCCCCUGUUAUCUACCGGGAUCUCAAGUCCCCCAACAUCCUUCUUGAUGAGGAGUACAACCCUAAGCUCUCAGACUUUGGCCUUGCAAAGCUUGGCCCGGUUGGGGGAAAGACACACAUCUCCACUCGGGUGAUGGGAACAUAUGGGUACUGCGCUCCAGAAUACAUAAGAACAGGGCAGCUAACUGUCAAGACAGAUGUGUACAGUUUUGGGGUUUUCCUAUUGGAGUUGAUCACAGGAAGAAGAGCAGUGGAUUCCUCCAGACCAACAAGUGAACAAGUCCUAGUUAACUGGGUAUGUACUAAAUUUUUAUUCUAUUACACCACAUAUAUACUCAUAAUUUGCUUGCCCAUAGAAUUUCAUAUAUCACUAAGAGCAACACCACACACAUGGAAAAUGCAUAUGAACAGUCAUAAAUUAGUUAUGGUGCAAGGUUUUCUGACUGUUGAAUUCAUGUGUGAUCAACAGGCCAAGCCCAUGCUGCGAGACAGAAAGAGAUACAGUGAGCUAGUAGACCCUCUUCUCAGAGGCGAGUACACAGAGAGGGACUUGGGCCAGGCUGUGGGCGUGGCAGCAAUGUGCCUACAAGAGGAAGCCUCAGUCCGGCCUUACAUGAGUGAUGCUGUUGUUGCACUAGGAUUCCUUGCAGAAGUGCCUGCUGGCUAUGAAGCGAAGUCUAGCCCUAUACCCCAAAUGAAACAAGUUGAAGAUCCCUCAUUAACUAGCAGCUCUAAGCAAGAUAAGAACACAUAUGAUCGUCAAAAAGCUGUUGUGGAGGCCAUUGAGUGGGGCUCACUGAGGCAAAAACAGAAGUCUCAAAGUCCACAAGAGAAAGCUCAAAGUCAAGGAAUAUCAUCCCCUCCAGAAGCCAACAGGUUGUGAAAAUCACAUCUGUGGAGUAAAAUAUACUAGACCAGCCUAGCUUGUAACCUCACAAUUUUGUACAAGCCUCAGGGCUAAAAAUUGUCAUGCAUAGUUAAGAGUUUGUAAGUCAAGUCCUUGCCUCCUAAGGGUGUAAGUGAUCUAUAGUACUCGCUGCCGCUGCUAACAUGUAUGCAUCGUGUCCAGAAGAAAUUCUUAUUCCAUCUCUUCUAUAGAUAUAGCCCUUUGGGUCUACAAACUACAAUAACCGAUCAUUGUUUACCCCUCUAUCUAACAUCUGUAUAAGAGAAUAGAAAGGAGCACAUUGAGGUUCGUCUAUUCCUUUGCAGCAGUGGAAAAGCAAAUAAAUAAUACUCUCAUACACAUAGUGGGUGUUUUGAAUGCACUAAUCUAUUUAGCUACAACAUACCAAAGCAUCAAAGAAACUCAUGUGGCAAUGAAAGCUACAGAGCCACUUCCACUCUCUUUUACUAUGGAUACACUUUUUUAAGACAGAGCCUUUCUAAUAAACCUUGCAGCAAAGCUCUUGCUGUCCUUUUAAAAACUAUUUAGAGCCUUUCUGGAAAGGUAGGACUGCUCAAGGAUUUUGGAUUGUAAUGUAAUCCCACCACCCCAAUCCAAGCAGGCUGAAAAUUGACUUGCAGCAAUGAUGUUACCAACUUUGGUAGUGUUGCACCGAAGUACUUGUGUCAACAAAACCCUAUAACUUAAGCGAGUGAUCCAUUAUUUACUACACAGCAGCAAAUGUCAGAGAGUCUUGUAGUUGCAUAAAAUUGGUUUUGGGUUUGUUAAUAUAAUUAGCAUAUAAUGGAUCAUUCUAGCUAUGUUUCAUAUGCCAAGUCGCCAACCGCACAUGGAAAACUUAAGCUGUUAAAAGAACAACAAUUUAAAUAGCCUCGACCAAGUAAUGAACCCUACAACAUGGACCACAUGAACUAAGGGAUCAAGUAAUGGCUGCAAACUCAACUACUCAAGUACAACAAGUUUUUCUUAACAUGGACUCUCCAGAUGAGCCCGAGCACUAAAGUAAUGAUGCAUCACUGUGAAAAUUAAGCCCCGACAAACUAUAAAAAAAUGUUCAGAAUAUGCAACUAACUUCAUCAAUCUUUAGUUCUUCAAUGUUAUUAUCAGGGCAGCCUAUUAUCAGAUAUUCCAAUCACCAGUUGUCUUCUGAAUUUCUACUGUCAUGUUUUCUCCCCAAAAGGGAAGAUUCUUACUAUAGUGACUGUCAGUGUUAACUCACAUUUGUUUCCCAAAACAUUAAUCAUAGCUUCCAUGUGUGGCCUAUGUAAAUCAAAUUUUGUUUUUUUUUUGCUAUUUGCCUGCUCAAAACAAGUUUGAAUUAUCAUUAUUUUCAGAUCAUUUGGAAUAAAAUCCUCAAUAUAAAAAAAAACCCACCUCAACUAAGUGCUCCAAUGUUGUUGUUCAGGAUUCGAAGUUAAAACAAGAUGGAACCUAUGGAGGAGCUCUCUAAGAUAUUCUGAUAUAAAUAUUCCCUAAUCCCUAUGAGAACAAUGGCUCUACUCUGCACUUUUGGAACCAUCGAUAUCAUGUACUUUGUUUAAACCUUGCAAACCCCCCAACAGAAAUUGACUGUUAGUGUUUCUUGUCUAUGUUCUAUUUAUAAAAUGUGACUGGCCAACCAUGCAUAAGUCACAGCACCGCAUUUAAAACUUUGCAGACAAAACAUAGAGCCACAGCAAGUACAAGGAAGUGAACUUUAUUUGAUGAAUAUUGGAGUUAUACAAAAGCAUGAGACUGCUAGUAUAUAACAGAAUCAACUUUUUGAACCGCAUGGGUUGCUAAAUAUCUAAAUCCCGCUCACCUCCUCCAGUUCAUAAUGAACAUUGAUAUCUGGCUUGCAAAAUAACAAUUUCAGUCCUCUUUGAAGAGCUCACGGCCAAUUAUCAUUCUUCUUAUCUCACUAGUACCAGCACCAAUCUCAAACAGUUUUGCAUCUCUCAGGAGACGGCCAGUUGGGUACUCAUUUAUGUACCCAUUGCCACCAAGACACUGGAUUGCCUGCCAUAGUGAAAGGGUUACGCUCAAUUAGUGGGCCAUCCAAAAAACAAUGAUACAUGCUACAAAUUAUUAGUUCCAAAUCUAAAAGCCUGUUGUGAUCCAUAAUAUUGGAAACUGCAAUAGAGUGAUUUAAUAUGAAUUGUUUGUCAGAAGAGGGCAAAUUGAGUUUAGAGAUAACUGUAACGCAAAUGCAAAAUUUGCGAGGUCAAAUAUUAUCUCCUCAGGGAAAGAAAAAUGGCUAGGUACAUGAUGUCCGAUCACAUCCUUAAUAAUACACGAAAAAACAACACAAGAAUAUGGGUUAACAAAAUCCCCAAUAAACUGAAGAGAGGUUUUUACCUGAAGUGCAACUUGGGUUGCCCUUUCAGCAGCAAAGAGAAUUACUCCUGCACAAUCCUGAUUAAAAAGAUUUGUAUGAGAUGAACUACUCGCUCGAUUUUGUCUUGAGAAGAACUACAUGCAGGCAGUGCAGAAACAGAAGUUCAGAGGAAUAGUAAUGAUAUUUCAUAAACUUAUAAGGGUACCUUGCGGUCAACUUUGCCAUUAUCACAGUCCCUAGCAACUGAGUAUACAAAUGAUCUGAAGGAAAAAUGAAACAGAAGUAAGAAGACAUUCGAAUCUUAUAAGCAAAAGUUUUGAGGAGGCUCCUACCUUGAUGAUUGCAGGGAGGUGUACAUAUCAGCCAUUUUACCCUGCAUUAGAAGCAUGGUCAUUAUUAUUAGUGCCACGCCUAUAUUAAUAAAAUGUUGCACCAAGGAACACGAGAAAACAGGACAUAAGUGACAGCUACAUGAAUUUACCUGUAUGAACUGAAAUUCACCAAUUGGACGGCCAAAUUGCUCCCUCUGGCGAACAUAUGGAAGUACGGCAUCAAGGCAUGCCUGCAUGAGGCCAAUGGGACCUGCAGCUAAUACAAGCCUUUCCAGAUCAAGCCCUGACAUCAUGACAUAAACACCUGCGACAAGAAAAGGCAUAGAGAUUUCAAGUGAGUAUCUCGUUAAGAGAACUCUUUUUUAGUUUUACAGACUUCUGCGUGAUAGUACGAUAGAACUAUAAUAGUUUCCCAUGUGAAGAAUAUCUUUGCCUUCUUAUUUAGAUAUUAUAAAUUUAUAAUUCCAAUCUUUAUGCCAUGCUUACUGCACAGGCAACUAAGUAACUAACUAUAAACAACAAAGCAAAAACCCGGGACAGGAACUUAUCUAGAAUGAGCAUCAAAACAAUCAGGAGAUAAUACCUUUGCCUUCUUCACCAAGAACAUUUUCGUGUGGCACAAAGCAGUUCUCAAAAACAAGCUCACACCUGCAGAAUAGAUAUCUGUUAAAUUGGGGCCGAAUUCAUCAUUUUAACUAUCAUGCGUAAGUAGAAACAUCAUAUCAUACGUAUCGCUUCCUCGCAUGCCAAGUUUGUCCAACUUCUGAGCAGUACUGAACCUGUAGGCAUAAACAAAGUCCAUCAGUACCAUGAUAAAGGAAGUUACAGAAAAUAAUAAAAUAUACAUUUAUGUUCAAUCAAGCCCAAUGAAAAGAAUGGAGUGGUUCUGUACCCAGGCAUCCCUUUCUCAAUUAUGAAUGCGGUUAUUCCUUUUGAUCCUGCAGAUAAAUCUGUUUUUGCAUAAACAACCUGCAAAUCCCAACUUUCGUGAAUUAGCAAGUGUGUUAUGGCUGCAUACAAACAGAAAUUCUCUUCCAGCAAAGUGCCAUGAAAUUCAGGAAAAAUCCUGAAAAAAAAAUGUGUGACUCUGCUAUCUGAAUAAGCUCUCGAUGUUAACACUACACAUACAUCCAAAAUUCAACAGUGACUUAAGGAAGCACAUCAAAACACCAAGGACGUGAAAAGGGCCACGGAACCAAUCAUACAAGUGUUGGAACAGCAGAAGGGGAUGAAUAUCUAAGAGCUUCAUGGAAUUACCAGUGUCUGAGCAGAAGGCCCAUUCGUGCACCACAUCUUAUUCCCAUUGAUGACAUAACCACCGUCCACUUUCUCAGCUUUGCAUUUCAUACUGACCACAUCGGAGCCCGCUGAAAUUGCACAGGAGGAGCAUCAGAUCAUGAGACCUUGUGCCGAAAUCAUGGAGGAUAGCACACCAACUAAAAUGAUACUUACAGUUAGGUUCACUCAUCGCUAACGCCCCGACAUGCUCGCCACUGAUCAGCUUUGGAAAAGGUAAAACAGGUUAACAAAAUCCAUCAUCCCCCAAAACAUUGGGGGCAAAAAAAGUACUGUUGAAGUGUUAAGCAUUGCUAUAACACUUAAAGAGUCUGAUGAAGGAGACGGUGUUAACAGUCUGGGAACCCACCUUGGGUAGGUACUUCUGCUUUUGCGCAGGGUUGCCAUGACGGACCUGCACAGAAACACCACGCACAUUUGCAAAUCGCUUUCGUAUAUGCUGUGAUGGCAGCAUGUGUCAUAACCAAAGCAGAGUAUUAUUACUGUGGACCGAUCACCGUACCAGCUGGUUGAUGCAGAGAUUGGAAUGCGCGCCGUAGGAGAGGCCGACGGAGCCGGAGGCCCUGCUGAUCUCCUCCAUGGCGAUGCAGUGGUACAUGUACCCCAGCCCCAUCCCGCCGUACUCCUCUGGCGCGGUGAGGCCGUGGAGGUUGAAGUCCCCCAUGUGCUUCCACAGGUCCACGCCCUUGGGGAAAUGGUUGGAGGCGUCGAUCGCCGCGGCGUGAGGCGCGAUGGCCUCCUGCGCGAACUUGUGCACGCUCUCCUUGAACUGGCGGGGGGAGCGAACGAGCAAUCAAACAUCAGGCAAGGGGAAAUAAGAAUGGCGAUUCAACUGACGGCGCGAGCGAGCGAGCGAGCGAGACGAGACGAGAUGAGACGGUGCGUACCUGCUCCUGCGUCUCGUCGAAGAGGAGGGAGGACGAGGAGAAGAGCCGCGCCGCCCCGCCGCCGCCGCCGGAGACGGCGGGGGCCGCGCGGCGGAGGAUCGCCGGGAGCCACCGCUGCAUCGUCGGCCGGAGCUUAGGUCGGGAGCGAAGCGAAGCGUGGUACGUAAACCAGCCGCUGUCUGUGGGUUAUCAGCGCGCUAAUGCAACUUUUAGCAUGGGGGGAGGAGGGGGAAGACCACCCCACUAGUCUCUAUCGGUCUUGCCCUCCCGACGUGCUGGGGUGGGUGGGGUGGGAUGGGGGAGACGGCGAGCUUUCCAACAGGAUGAGCUGGAGCCGGCGCGGCAGGCCGAUCGGUCUGUUAUCCACUCUGCUCUGCAGUCUCUGCACGCCGAACAGAUAGAUGAUGACGACUGAGAUGAGACGGAUCGGGACGGCUCCUCCUCUCCCUCCUGUUUUCGUUUUCGUUUUUUCCUCCUUUUUAUUGCCUGGUUGCUUAUCUCUCCUCCCGUGCACAGCCUUCUUCGCUCAAAGUUGGGAGCAUGACUCCCAAACGUGUUGGUUUUGGUUCCUCUUCCUCGUACGAUUUUGAACUAAAUUUUGCGCGGUGAACAAAAGUUUCGUCGAAUUUCUUGCGGGCGCGGUGACCACUUCGAAGUUCGAACGGGAAUUUCGAACGGAUUCUUCGGAGGAAAUCGCGCAAAACAGACUGGAGACCCCACCUCAUGAAGUCAUGAUUGCUCUGCCCAAGGAUGGUACAGUACAACCGCAACUUGUCCUCCGUUACAAAGGCACGUGUUGCCCAUGCCUUCCUGUCCCGUCAGACGGUUUUGGGCCGAGCGGAUGGCCCAAGAUCCCAAGCGGGGGGCAGGCAGCCCGAUAGAGAGAAAGGACGAAGCAUUGUGGAUGCAGCCCACGGAGUUGAAGGACUUGUUUGGGCCGGAGAGCUAUGGGCUCUUGUUUGUUUGGCACGGUGGCGGCGUAAGGGAGUUAUGGGCCGUUGUGGGCUUGGUGAUAUUAUCAUAUUUGUUUUUUGCAUCCUAAAAGAAGUUGCUUUUUUUUUUACUGCGUGAAAUUUUGGGUUUAAACUCAAGAAAAGUUAGGCCUGGAACUUCCGGAGUUAAACCCCCGUGUUCCAUAUGAAAACAGCUCCAUGAACUCUAAAUCUUGGGAACCAGGCCUCAAACUCAAAUUCUCUUCCGUUUUACGGCAAGCAAAUAAAAGUUCGCCUUCUAAGUAAUGAUGAAUCCUAAUCCUAAUAUGAUCGCUAUUUCGGUUCCCAGGUCAGUAGGUCACUAUACUGUUUAGAGUGCAAAAUCAACAGCUCAAAAGAAAUGUGAGCCCGUCAUGAACCAAAUAAAAAUCAUGCUAACUACCAGUAGUUUGCACCUCCAAAGUUCCAUGGAUCUUCACGCUUCGCGCUUGUGUGGUGGCGAGCUGGCGAUCCAAAGCAGCAAAGCUUUCCCUUUUCCACCUUCCCCACACGACAAGCUUUUCCCCUAGUCCGUAGUCACAGUCACCACUACUCAUCGUGUCACCUCUGCAAUGCAAUCACAGGUGAAUCAUUGCGUCAGGAGUCAGGACCUUUGUGCUGCAUGUACUUCCUUUGUCUGUGCACACAAAGUUGCAUUGCAUGUCUCUGGUCCAAACUCCAAACAACAAAAAAUCCUCCAGAAUACACACUGAUUCGGUGAUUCCAACACCACAUGUGAAUGAUACUCCGCUCCCUGGUACUCAAGGCGGCUAUAUGUUAGUGACAAGACCUAAAAAUGAGUAUCAACAACUGACAGUUCUGAGGCUUAAAAAAAGAUCAGCAACAUAAACCCUUGUUUUACCAAAAGCAAAAUGGAACAGCAUUACAAGAGGUAGAAUGCUCUAGACUAGCUCUCGAGCUCCUCAACGUUUCUGGAUUCGGACGCCUGGUGCACUUUCUGUCUACCGAAGUACCAAGGUUUACAACAUUCCUUCACAUCAGAACUCAAGAAAAAGGCAGCACAAAAAAGCAGGCUCAACGUGAACCAAUCCGCCAUUUUUAAGUCACCUAAUAUAAGAAAUUCCUAGCGUGCGGUGGCGCCCCAUUUGUCGUUUGAACAAAUUCCAAGCGCCUUCACCUGAUUGCCUGCCAAGCUUAUCCUGCUGAAAGGGCAAAAAAGAAGGAACGAAAUCAGUCAGCAAAGAGAUUAAAGCAAGCGCAUAUGAGAUGCUUUUGAUUUGCAAUUUCUCUGGGCAAGACAAGUAAGGGCCCUUCUUUACUUGCAAAGCGAAUACUGGUAUGAUGCGGCCAUAAAGCAGAAUUGCUUCAUGCACUCGAAUUCAUGCAAAAGGGCAUCUCCCUCCCUCUUAUCCUUGCAAGCCCAGAACCAAGAACCACAUGCCUUUUUUUAGUUUUUUUACUUCAUGAUUAAGCAUCAAGUUGAGGCUAAGGCAUCCCACCCACACAUCUCCCAAAAAUUCCCACCAUAAUUCUGCCACUUUUUCAAGCAGAAUCGAUACCGAUGAAACAAAUCAAAUCGAAGAGAAGUUUUAUUCUUAUUCCACGAAACAAGCAAACUGUAGCAAGUGGAUAUGAAAAAAACAGGUGCUCCUUCAACAUAUUACAACAGAAACUCUCAAAUGUGCUUCUUUGAUGCUCCAGGAAUUGGUCAAGAGUACUCAAAUAUGGAAGCUUCAUAAACUCAACAGCAGCAGCGCUGUACUAUAUUUCACUCACAAAAGAUAUUUGAAAGGGAAAAUACAGAGUGAAGGCUGAAAACACGGAACCGUAAGAAAACAUACACACGUCACGAUGGGAGAUGGUAGUGCAAAGAGCUAAAAGCUUUCAAUAAAAAAGUGAGAACGCAAAAAAGCAAGCAAGGGGUGCAUAAGAUUUCCAAACCAUCAGAGCAUUAUUAAAGACAGGCCGCCACAAAGCAAACCCAAGCAUAGAAUACACACAAGCACCCCUUCAAGAGGCACUUACACGCACAGACACCAGGAUCAAAAAGUUGUCCAAGGGAAGAAGAAAAGCACUCAUACUUGCACCAGACCACUCAGAGAAACGCCACUCCAAUCAGUAGAGCUGGACACAAGACCCUGCACCAAUCAUAGCCAUAUCAUAUAAACCAAGGGCAGAGCACCCAAGAACACAGCAAGAGCAAGCAGGAACAGCGACAAGAUGUAUCCUUACCGCUUCAGCAAUGUGCUGAUCGGCUACCUUAACCUGGGGACGCUCCUCGCCUCGAUUCCAAUCAUCGGGGCGGGGCUCUGGCUCGCCAAGGGCUCCAACACGACAUGCUCCUCGAUUCUGCAGACGCCACUCCUCGUCAUCGGCUUUGUCGUGCUCCUCAUCUCUCUUGCUGGCUUCGUGGGCGCCUGCUUCCAUGUCGCUUGGGCGCUGUGGCUGUACCUCUUCGCCAUUAUGCUCCUCAUCGCUUUCCUUCUUGGGAUCACAGCGUUCGGGUUCGCAGUCACAGCAGGAGGCGGAGGCACACAGAUUCCAGGAAGGCCUUACAGGGAGUACCACAUCUCAGACUAUUCCUCAUGGCUCCAGCACCACAUGCAGGACAUGAAGUACUGGAGGCCAGCCCUUGCCUGUGUGGUUGGCUCCAAGGCCUGUGACAAGAUUGAGAGCUGGACUCCCAUGGAUUACCUCCAGCAUGAUCUCACACCAAUACAGGUUUGCCCUAUCAGCGACUGGUUGAUUUUGUUUUCGAUUUAAUUGUCUGUGUUACUGCUCCUAUCCUAUAUUCACUAUCCAUAGUUUAGCCUAGAUUAUCAAUUCAACCUAGCUCUUUUCUGUCAAGAAACAAGAUUGUCUACUGCUUUUAGUUUCGAAAUUUUGACUGCUGCUGCCUUCCAUGGCUCUAAGACACUAAAACCCUGAACUAUCCUGCAGUCCGGUUGCUGCAAACCACCAACAGCGUGCCAAUACAGUGGGGGCAUGCCCGUCGGAGCGCAGGACGAGGACUGCUAUCGGUGGAACAAUGCCCCAAACAUCCUCUGCUACCAGUGCAACUCGUGCAAGGCUGGCGUGAUGGAGCAGAUCCGCCAGGACUGGCACAAGAUCUCCGUCCUCAACGUCAUCGUGCUCGUGGCCCUCAUCUGCAUCUGCUCCUGUGGGUGCUGCGCCUUCAGAAAUGCUCGCCGCUCCUUGUCCGAGUACCCAUACGGGGUAAACCGCAUGUCCAAGAUAAACCCACGCUGGGACUACUACUGGUACUCAGCAAAAAAAAAUUAUGUUUUUACUCUCUUUUUUCCCAUUUGGCACCUCUUUUUUUCUUCGUAAAAUUGAUUUCAGCACUGAAAAUGCAAAACUAUAUAGGCAAAAGUGGAAAAUGAGGAAGUUUAUGGAGCAUAAACAAUCCCAUGACCAAAAAGAAAACAUCAAUCAUUAAGAUUUUUUUUAUAAAGGAUAAAGGAGAUAUUUUUUAUUGUAUCCUCACCCUUACGCAGUAUAUAUAUACCAAAUUUCCCCCCAAAUGUUUUCUGUGGUUUUGACACGGUUUUUUGGUUUGUUUGCUGUAGGUUGCGAUGGUUCCGUGAUAGGAGAGAACAGCUCUACUAGGCUAGCCCUUGGUUCUCAGAAUCUCAGUGCUUGUAUGAUAUUUUGCUCCUACUCUAUAUUCUGUCAAGAUAUAAUAAUACUUGAGAGCUGGGUUAGCUUCUGUGGUAUACUCUAUUUGAUUUUAGUUGUACAGUUCCUUACAUCCCUCCAAGUUUGUAUAAUUAAGCUUGUGCAGAUGUUUGAGUUAGAGGAGAGUAGCAGAUCAAGUAAACAGGAUGUAUAGUCUUUCCAGUUUCCACUUUUCACUGGUUCAGUAUUACCCGAACUCAAACACAGAAGGGCAAUGUUCCAGAAAUAGGUUCACAAGAUUUGCAUGUGUCAAAACUGUAGUACAUUCCAAAGCAAAACUACUAGUCCUAACUGAAUGUUUGUCUCCUAAACAUCCUUUCUCUUCAGUUAUAUCCCAGGUAACUUAUCAACAGUUUCCACUUUUCACUGGUGCAGUAUUACCCGAAUUCAAACACAGAUGGGCAAUGUUCCAGAAAUAGGUAAAUAGGUUCACAAGAAUUCCAAAAGGAAACAAGUGAAGGCAUACAAAACAAAAGGUACACAAAUAACAAAAGAAUCUGAUGCAACCGCAAUCAUUAAUGGGAUCAAAUAUGAUUGGAUUUGAUUAUUAUAGAAUAUAUUCACAUUGACCUUUUAUUGCAUGUUGAACUGGUACUGAUACCAGAGCUUCUCACGGCACAAUGGUAGAACUAUGAAAAACCCUGAAACCAUCCCGAGUUCGAUGCUGAGGUACUCUUCUUUAAGACAAAACCAGGACGUCUCUCCCUUUGGUUGAUUUUUUUAAUUGGCAUCUGAUAUGGUGCAGCAAUUUGUGUCAUAUCAGAAUAACACUAACCCCAAUCUCGUGGGGAGAAUAACACAAACCCAAUCUCAUAUGGAGAACCUCAAAAGGUGGCAACAGUUUAUUGGACCAGACUUGCCUCAAGUUCUGAAAUAAUCUGUGUUUUGAAAGCUACUGUCCAGUGACCCACAUCAGCUUGCAAUAGUUUAACAAGGAUUAUGGUGCAAAGAACAACCGUGUUGUCCAACAGGAGUAUCUACUGCUCCAUAUUGGACAAAAAACAACUAAAAUUGUCUAUCCACUUCAAAUUCUGGAACAUAAUUUAGCAAGAAAUAGUCUAAAAUGCGGAACGCAGACAGCCCCUCAAUGGAGAGUGAUUUGGAGCAGUAGGAUGUGUAUCUCACUUCAAAGUAUUCAUCAUUACCCACUUGGUUACAGUCCGCAACAUGAUUUGGCUUGAUCACCACACACCUCAAACUCCAGAGGGUAUAUCAUCCAUUCCAGCUAAAACUUUUUUUAUUUCUAGUUAAUUCUUAAAUUCCAAAUACUGAAAAGUGAAAACCACUCAAUGGGAUUAAGAAGUUUAUAGGUGAUUGAAACUAACCGUUUCAAAGAUGCCUAGAACAGUAGAACCCUUGAGGACCCGCCAUGUAACCAUGCAUUGGGCCAUCAAAGGUAAACUAGUUUAUAGACUGGCUGGAAGCAGCCAGGGCAGGCCAUGUUAUUGACCACCUGUUUAUAGGCUAUGGCCUUGAUGGUUGUAAUGAGCAGUUGGGAAAGUUAGACCAUGCGAAGGAUAAUUAUGUAGUCAUCACUGGUAAAUCUAAACCAGAAUUGCCAGACAGCUACACUGUGGAGAGGCGGGGCCAGAAUGCGGCAGACAGGAAGUGUGCUACCAUGAAGAGUGCCACUUGUGAUGACUGGAGGCAGUGGAAUACCAAUCUGCAUCUACUUCAUAAAUAGUUUUUUUAGAAUCGCUACUAUCAUUCAGAUAUUUUGCAAUCCAAUGUAAACAGCAUCAGAUACAUCAAAACCGAGGGAACAGAUGACGGAGAGUGAAGAGGAGCAAUAGAUUUGCAACCAUAAGUUGUUUCAAUACUGGCAGCAACUUCAAACGAAAUUCUGUAUCAUCAAUGAAACAAAAUUGUAGGUUGCAGGCACUGGUCAUUCGAGGUUCCCAGCAGACAAAAACCAGCAUAUCACUUAUUCUAAAUACAUCACCGAACACAAACUCCAAACUUGGAUUUAUGAAAUUCAUAUUAAAACCAGUUCCAGCAUUUCAUAUUACUGUUGAAAGAAGUGGUACAGCUAGUCUUCCAUCACAAGAAUUGUGACAUUAGACUAUCUAGAAAAAAGGGGCGGAAAUGCAGCAGCAGAAACAAGUUAGACGCCUUGCCAUUUUCCAGAGCAGCUCCUUAAGCCAUUGCAGCUUUCUUUUCUUCCUCGAGCUGUUUUAGCUCUAUCAAUCUUUCUGUCCAUGCCCGAUCUCUUGCCACAGCAGCCAUCUUCCUUUCUGUUCGUUCUGCCUCCUUUCUCUUAACAGCAGCAGAAUACUGUGCCCUGCGCUUCUUCUUUUCAGCCUGUACAAGUAAGACAUGCAUUUAAGCAUUUGAUUAGAAACUAAGGGCAAUACAUCAACCAUACCUAAAAUAGAGAGGUCAGAUCAAAGUAAUCAAGCAAAUCAACAGCCAUAAGCAAGUGGUAUAACUUAAGUCUAGCAAGUGGCAAACUAAACCCUCAUCCUAUACAGGCCAGUAUUGUGCGUCUAACACAGGUACAAAGGUGCAUUUGGGGUUCAAGAAAAUGACAUAAAUUUAACAUCACGAGGAAAAACACGAAACGAAAUAUAAAGCAGUUAUUAUAUGUAGUUCCAGUUCAUCACGAUACUCGGGACUGCUAGGUGGCAUAUAUCACCAACUGCAAAGAUUUUAUUUGUCAAUCUUUUCAUUCCGUUUCAUACUGAACCUAAAGGUAGCUUGGAUUGCAGAGAAUAAUUGAACAUUAUAGCAGGAUGCGCAACAGGACAUCCAUAAGUAACUUGUUGUUAUUAUAAAUUUACAAUAAUAACAACUGGUAUAAAGAAUGGAACGAGGGUUAACCAUGAUAAAGUCCUUGCGCUGCUUGAUCCGCUUCUUCUCCUUUCUCCCUUGCACACUCCCUUUGUUUGGCUGGCUAGUUGGUAUGGGCUCCUCAGGAUUGCACUUCACCCAGUAAUAUGGACCUACGGGCGAACAGCAGCAUCACCAUCCGUUACAAAAUUAAACAAGGAUAGAUGGACGAUCAACGCUACAUUUAAUCCAUGAAACGUCACAAAAACUCUGUAAAUAAACUGCUGAACAGAGACAUAUUUCUAUUGAGCUGCGAAAUUCGAAGGAAUGGAAUAAUACAAUUGCAAAAAUAGUCCGGAUCGAAGCAUUUUGACUGCUAAAAACGAAAGGCUGAAGAAAUCGUCCACACCUUUGGGGCGCAAGCUGGCCCUCUUCCGCCGGUUGGCGAAGCCCGGCCGGCGCUUCGGGAACCGGGUGUUCAUGAGCCCGCCGAAGAGGGUGGCCCCCAUGGCCGGCGCCUGCGAGGCAGUGGCGGCGGCGGAGAAGGGGCGGAACCCGAUCGGAUCCAGGAGCCAAAGACGAGCGGGAGGAGGAGGAAGCGGAUGCGGGGUGUGCCGGAGGAGAGCCGCCGCCGGCGAGGAGAGCGGCGGCAGGGCUCGCCGGAGAGCUCGGAGGAGCGCCAUCGAAGAAGGUUCUAGAAGGUCGCUGCCUUGAUCGGUUAGGGUUUUAGCAGGGAAGGGUGUGCGCGCGGGCGGGCCGCCACGGAGAACUGGAGAAGGCAGGGGCGAGUGUGCUGUGUGCGUCAGGCCGUGCGACGGUGCGAAUGGCGCACUUGACAGUUUACGCAAACGGUGUCGUAAAGCGUACUUGGGGAGGAAAAACUGUGGGCGUUAAGACGAGGGCUUUUUUAAGCAAAUUUCAUAACUUCUUUUAUUUUAAAAAUAAAUAACAUUUCAGGAUUUAGUAAGAGUGCUUUAUGCAGGACACACAAAAUAAACUUCUAUAUAGCAUAUUCCAUAGAAUGUUCGCACACAACACGACAUGACAACUCAUGAAUAUUGCGGGAAGUUUCAAAAAAUCAGCUAACAUCUUCCUGGUUUCACACUAAGUCCAACCUUUUUGAUGCAUUUAAGAGCCACAUCAGUCUUUGUGCUUCCUCACUCUCUCUCUCUCCCCCUCCCCUCAAUCUUUAUCCUCACACAACAUAUGUACAUAGCCAUGGUUUCAUCAUCCAUCGGUGAGGAUCUAUAACCUUCCUCACCUCUUGACCACAAACACAUUUGCAGAUACUAAGAAGGCGAUUUAUAAGAGUAGAUGAAUACAUCGGAGACCAAUCGUCGGGAUGUUUGUGUCUUCCGCUCCUCAUUUUUCUCUAUAGGUAUCCUUUAUUUAUGAUAUUCUUCAAUUUCAGCGAAUCUUUUCUGGCAACUAUUUAUCGAAAAUCUGUCCAUAACCCUUUUGAUAAAAUAAUUCUUCUAUAUAAUAUCUUUACUCUUUUUUUGCUUUUAUGUGAUACAAGAAUUUUGAAUAAAAAAGGUGAAAAAAUGUUUCUAUGAAUUGAAAAAAAAAUCGUGAUUUUUUGGAUGUGUGUUUUUGUUAUUUUCGAUUAAAUUAUUAUGGUUCCUAAGACAUUGCUAAACAUUAAAAAAAACUUCUAGACCCUGGAUAAGAUGAGCGGUGCACGACAAUGCUAAGGCCUCUAUCAUAUUUGUCGUGCGCUACUCUUGGACUUACCUGGACAUGAUGCAUCUCUUUUUUUUCUACUUUUCUCUAUGCCAUCCAAUUGUUUUUAUCGUGUGUUGCCUCUUGCACAUCUAUUAUAUUCCAUCUCCUCUUUUGUUAUCACUAGUGUGCCACCGUCACCCAAUAACAGAUGUUUUGGGUUUGGUGGGAUGUGAAAAAUUGUGAUAUUAGCUUGACACUAUUAUAAUGAGGUGGUAAGACAAUGAUGAUGACGAUGAUGAUAGAGCCAUAAGCAGUGAGUAGAGCCAAUGGCGACGACAGCCAUUGCAUAUCUAGAGGUGGGACCUACUAGAGGUGGUCUGCGUGAUUAGUAGGUUGCGUAGGUUGGGAAGUGCGAGUCACAAGGCACCUUUUUAUCUUUUUCUCAUAUUUUGUUUCCUGAUCAUCCCUUAUCUAGGUUCAAAUCUUGCAAAAAGGGCAUGUGGCCAAAUACAUGUGAACGUGAAGAAAACAUGUUGCUCUAGAACCUAGCCCCCACCCCCACCCCAUGCUAUUGGGAUGCGUGCGGGUGUAGGUAUAGAUAAGAUGUACAACUCUCAACUCUCAAAGCUUCAACACAGUCAAUCUAUGUCACCUCAUAAAACACUAUACAACCUAUGUAUAUCGUAUGAACGAACUCAAGCUGAAUCAGGUCUCAUCAAAGGAUCACCAGUUCACCACCUUACCAAUCACACGGAAUGAGAACAAGCCAUCGCAGAGGAAGACCGUGCAUCAAAGAGGUUAGGCCUUGACCGGUUGAGACAACCGUGUUCUUCUGAGCAAAAAAAAAAUGGUGAAAGAGAGGACAUGCGAACCAAGAAAAAAAAGAGGGAAACGCUUUCCAUGUCUUGGGCAUGGUACCUUGCACAUUUUCCGUGACUAGCUUGGCUAGAACGGCCGUGGAUCAUCUUCAGCUGACACAAUGAGAUCGAACCGAGCACAGCAUCAUGGCUUGCGUAGCUGCCGCUGGACCACCUACCCCAUGCUGCGGAAAGGGCCGGCGCCGGAAGAAACUCGUGAAAUCAAAAGCAAUCCGCAGCAGGUAGGGAAAUCGAACUCGAACCAGAAAUUCACGUGCACACAAGUCAAAAGCCAUGACGUAAAAUCUACACGAGGCCACGAGCACUACUCAACUCACUUCAAGGACACGAUUAACAGGAUGCUUGGACCAAACGCAGAUUGACGAGUACGUAAUAAGCCCAUUGCAGUAAUUCACACGGAGCACAUUGUUUCAAAAAAAGGUGCCAACUAAUCUAACCCUGCUGCACAAUAGCAGCUGCUGUAGCAUCACCAGGAAUAAGAAUAGGAAAACAGGAGCAGCAUCAAGUCAAGAAUUUUGAAGGAAUCAACAAAAGGCCCAGCACCGAACACAAAACUGAUCAGGCUCCACCAGUCAUCCAUGGAACUGCUGCCUGCAGGCGCAGAGACAAAUCACCCCAUUCAUAUCAGCACCAGCACCCAAAGUUGCAAGGAACUCCAGUAGGAAACAGCGCGAGGAUGCCCGUUCAUCAGAUGGAACAGUCAUGUGGUAACCAAGAGCAUUGUUAUAGCAAAAUGGUUCAACAUGAUAGCAGAAGCAUGGCAUCCCUGAAGCAAGUUACAGUUGACAGUCUUAGAAAUGUUAAGCACAAAACAAGAGACAGACAUCGGCCAUUCGGCCAAGGCAAAAUUUCAACCAAAACUCCAUCAGACUAGCAUACCGAAUUAGGCAUUACCAUAUUACAAUGAUCUGUGAGGUUUCUGCAUAAACUGACAAAAUAAAACCCUACCGACAAACAUAUAUAGUCAGCCUGCGGACAGCACUUCUAGCGAACCUACAGCGCUGUGCCACUGUUGACAGGUCAAGCUAGCAAAGGGUAUGGAGCUGCAGAAAAGGUAGAGAUGUUAAUGCCAAGUACAUAACAUAACCCAACAGCUACUGAAAGCCUACAAAUAGUAUGGACAGGAAAGCCAUUCACUUUCCCUUGUUUCAUUUCAUUAAGUUACAAAAACUAAAUAUGAUACAAAGGGGCAACAAAACAUGCACUAAAGCUGCUACCACUACCAAUGCUACCUGCUGCCUAUGUCCUUCCAAGGAUCCACGUCACUGCCCAUAACCUUAGAACCGGGACCAUACUGCGCCUUGAGAGCAGCCACAGGGUCUGAGACACCACUAACAAGGAUACCAGCACCCCCAAAACGUGAGAUUUUACUAGGCUGCUGGAAACCUGAGAUGAAUUCCACCCCAUUGCGCUUCUGAGGGUCAGAAAACCUCUCCAGCCGUUUUGGAUCUGAUUGAUGCGGCUGAAUGGAAGGCUGUUGAUAGUCCGAAAACACACCAACCGUGCCAUUUUUAGCCGAGUAAAACGGUACACCGGCUAAGCUCUGGCACUUCGCCAUCAUGAGCAGCGGCUCAGGCUGUGUUGUGCUUCCAUCCAAAUGACCAUAGCUCUUAGCUGUUCUUUCCUCCAGACCUAAAUGAGUGAUGCCUGGCCUGGAAGAACAAACCACACGAUCCCGUGGAUUGUUCAACGAUCUCACAGAUGAUAUGUCAAUCUUUGGCGAGGGAGGCUUGCUCUUGUUACCAUUACAUGGUGGGACAGGACUUUGCAAGGAUGAUUGAUGACUGAGAAUCUUCCCAAAUAACUUGACAUCACCAGGCCGCUUUUGUUGUUCAUCACCCUCAGAGCUUGUAUUGUGAGAGCAUGACCUCAAAGAGCCUUGCAGUACUUCUUCGUGUUUUCUGGCCCAUUGAAUCCCAUCAGAAGUGUUUGGAAGGCCCAAGCUGCUGGACCUGCCAUUCUGGAAUUUUGUUAGAGUGAACCGAUCAGUCUGAGAAGUACUCACAGUGCCACUUGCAGUUCUUUCAGAAAAAAAUGGUAAUUUAGUUGUCAGAUGAUUCGUGUAACCAUCAACAUUACGAAACAAUGCGUCAUGCUGAUUACCAGUUGGGUCUUUAAAAGCUGGGUACUUGCUCAUGUCUUUGGCCCCUAAAGCACUGCUGACUCUGUUGCCACUGUCAUCAAAAUUGGGCAUAGUUAUUGAAGCUAUGCCAUCAAAACAAAUCACGGUAGGAUCAGGAACCGCAGAACUGAACUGCACAGGCAUUAAAUCUUUUGGGGUAAGGGGAGUAACCAGUGGCUUUGGUUUUGUUGGAGGCAUAUCUGCUGGCACAGAGUGCUUAUAGCUUGGAGGAAAUGCAGGACUAAUGGUGGAAGCACCAGUCAUGUUUGCAAAGUGAACAUUGUCCUUAGUAGAGAUAUCUGAAGCUAUGCAAGCUGAGGCACCAGAAUUUCCAGCUUUCCUUAGUUUAUUAUCAAGAGCUUGGUUUGAACACUCUUCCAUCUGGGAAGCAUCAGUGCCACUACCCAAAGGGGCUUUGUUUGUUUGAUGAAGUACCUCGACAGAAUGUAAACUGGAUCUGACUUCCGGGUGCGCUGCCAUUGCUUGCUCAGGCGAGGAGCUGAUGGCACUAUUGUUUUGCAUAUUUACUUGGUCAACGACAUCAUCUUUUCCUUGCAGUUUCUCUGUGCUUUCUGGGCAAUUAAUGUCAAUAGUACCACAUGCUACUUGAUGAGUAUCUUCAUUGAACCUUCCAUGAUCAACAAUACUGCAAUUUUUAUCAGCUUUCUUCUCAUCUUCCUCAGUUUUACCAUCUACAACAUCAAACCCAUUUGAUAUAUUAAGUUCUGGCUGCUUAGUGAUUAUACCUCCAAUGGCUUUUUCAGUAGGACAUACAUCCUUCUCAAUUUCUGAACAUGACUGUGUGCUACAGAUUGCUGAAUCCAUUUCAGCAGCGCAGGCCUCAUCAGUAUCACUCCGCCCUCCAUUUGUAUCACUAGUUGGCAUACUAACAUCAGCUGCUCCUUGAUGGAUCAAAUCCAAACCAAGUGAUUUCCGAGCCUUGCUGAAGAAUACUUUGCACUGUUCAUACGACUUGCUCUUCACGCAUGAUGAAAUCCGAGCAAAAUCCUUUCCAUAGUUAUUCAUAGCCUCGAUGAAAACUGACUUCUCAUCAUCAUUCCAAUCAACUGGAUCAACUUCACACUCUUGAUCUGAGAGUGUAUCUUCCUCAUCAAUGCUUCUGUCAAUUUCAGGGGCUAAGCCAUGCUCCAUUCUUGUCAUGCUAAUCUUCUGACCAGGAUCAGCAGAACUAGUAAUGCACGAGCCCAUUCCCUCAGGAGAGAGAGUGCUACAUAUCCCUGCUAACACAUCAGCAGCUACAGAUUCUCUCUCAUGCAAAGGUACAUUGUCAAUGCAUUCCAUGUCAGAAGAUUUUUUGGCCGCAAAGGAAACAUUGGACCCAUAUGCAGUCCGGAUGAGGGAUUUCGCAGAGAUUUUCUCCACUCUGUUUGCAUAUUCAAGGCCAUGGGCAGCUACUACUGAUGCUACCCCUAGCAUAUCAAGAGAAGCAGCAUUCGCCUCAGGAUUCCAUUUCUUCCCAGAUUUUGCUCCCAGAAAAUUGCUAGCAGGUUGUUGUUGACGAAGGUCCAAAAGUUUCUUGACUUCUCGGAAACUGUCUGAUUUAUGAUGCUUGUAGUAGAACUCAACACAGUCGGCAGUAGUUUUGUGCAUAAGGAAACUGGAGAUCUUGGAGAAAUCCUUACCAAAUUUAGCAAACAUCUCCAUAAAUAUUUCCUUUUCUUCUUGUGUCCAUGGAUUUAUCAUUACCCGCUCCUUCUCUACUAAAACAGGGUCAUCAACGAAGCCAUUCUUGCUGACAAACCUCGAGCGUUCCUUCUCUCUUUCAUCUAUAAUCAGGGCAGGCAUUUUCAAGUAGUUUCUGCAGCGCUUAAUCUGAAAUUCUGAAAAUAACUUGCUUGCAACAUCUGACAUUUCUGGAGUCGAGAAUGUACUUAAAUUACCAGCUGCAAUAAAAGAAGGAAUAGGUCAAUACAGUCUCAAAGGACAAAAACAUGUGAUGGAAGCUAGGAUAUAAAACCCAUUUAUAUAAAUUACGAAAGCAAAAGGAACUACCAGAAAUAGAGAAGCAAUCUACAAAAAAUUAUCAAUAUAAACAAGUGAAACUAAGAAUUCAGUACAUAGAUGCUUGGGUUUAAAAAUAAAAUUGAACUUAAAACACAUAAUUUUCAUCACAGCAAUAAAUAAACAUAUACAGUUCAAUGUUUUGUUUUUGUACUCCUGAACCGUACAGUUUCCACCUGUCAUAGCAGUGCCAGCCAACACUUUGGCCACCACAUAGAAACAUGUCACUCUGUAAAGACUUCCCAAAAAAAUUCUAAUACUAUCACAUGCAUGACACCAUUAAAAGAUAGCUAACAUGAACCUGAAAACUUGUUAAACAGGAAUUGAUAUUUUAAAACAGGGGUUGAUAACUGAUAAACCAAACAUGAAAGGAAGAAUAUUUCCACACCCAUUCUCUCUAGACCUGAUGUUCACUGGAAUAAAAUUAGUUUUGUAGAUUAUAAAGAUGUUAAGGUUUUUUCUCAUACAUGUUUCACUUCACCUAAUUUACUUGGGAAAUAAGGAGCAAGUAUCAUGCUGUCAAGACUACAAAUACAAACCAGUAAGAAGUAAAUUAUCUAAUUCAUCAAGCUAUUAGCUCAAAAUGAAAAUAAUCCUUGUAAGUUUCUAAACAAUCUAUCAUCACAAUUCACAAGCUGAGCAGGAGUUAACAUCGUAUAAGAACUAAUAAAAGCUCAAGUAGGAGCAAUACAUAACAACUUAAAUGAUGAUUAAGUUAAAAGUUUUAGAUAGAAGGAGAACUGACCAGGCAUGGCCAAUCGUGAGCGGUUGGAAGAGCGUUGCCUCUGAGAUCCAAUAUGUGAUGUCCGGUUGCUCUGAUCAAUGCGCUUGUUAGACUUUGGGCGUUGUUUCUUUGCAGAAAGUAGUCGCAGAUCCUCUUUCCACAAGUGACGAUAUGCCUUGAACUUUAAGGUAAGAAUCUGCUCCUUCAAUCUCAGCCUAUUUUUACAUACCCCAAGCCUCUCUCUAAUAUGAUGGUCAUUCUUCCUUUGGCUCAGAAGAUGACUUGAUGCCAAUAAAUCAAGGUGGGGUGUAUCAGCAGGCAAUGAUUUAAAUAGCGAUUCAUUCAUUACUUUGGCUAUAUUAUUAUUGGCAGAUGUAACUGAACCGAAUAAGCUAUACUUAUGAUCAUGGUCUGAGCAUUGCGUCACUGGUAUGUCAUCACUGAUUUCUGUUUUGAUGGAAUCAGCAUUAACAUGGCAUGAAGAAGUUUCCAACCUAUCAUUGUGCAUAUCAUUUUGAGAGCCAGCUCGUUCAGAAGCUUUCAAUGGGCUAAGAUCAGCAGCAGCACAGACCGGACCCUCUGCAACUCCAGGAGAUACAGCACUCUCUUCUGAGGAAAGUGUUUUAGCAUUACGAACUGGAGCUGGCUCGAUUUCCAUCAUAUCAGCACCUUUGACAUCAGCAUCCUGCACCACAGGUGGCUUGGGAGAAGGGAUGAGCUCCCCUGGUUCUUUCAUCACAUGAGAUGCUUGAGAGAUCUCAGCACUUUCAGGGACCUUUGAUGUCCCACUAGAAGGUGAAAGAUUUUCUGCAUAAGUGACACCUGUGGGAGAACCUUCAACAGCUGUUCCAGCCUCAGUAUUCACAGAUUUAAGUUCACCUUCCAACAAAUCAAUCUCUAAUUCAGUUUUUUCGAUCUCCUUGGAAAUGCUUUCCUUCAGUAGCAGCAGCUUACUUGUACUGGUUGGACCUUUUGAAUCCCCAGAGCAAGAAUCAUCAUGCUGAAGAAGGUCAGCAAGCAUGUUUGCAAGGGAAUUAAUAGGAUCAUCCCCCAGCUGAUCUAAAUUAAUGGAGAACUCAUUGUUGACAGCUUUAUCAGCAGCUUCAGGGACAUCUUUAGUAGGGUUGGUGACCGUACCCGUCUGUUCACAUGAUUUAUCUUCAGGUGCUGCAGUUGACAUAUAAGAGAGCAAAUAAGCUACCAUUAACCCCACGGAGCGUAUUGUUUUCAAUUAUGGUACAUUUAAGUAUACCAAGUAUCUUGCAUGCUAACAGGAUCAAACAAGUCCAACUAACGACUGGGAUUAAAAAAACGUUUGCAGAUAUUUAUAUUUCAGUAGUUUGAAUGUAAAAGUGUAAAUAUUGAUACAAAAGCAAACAAGAAAACAGCGGAGGUAAGGUUACUGCACAACAUAACCAAUGAUAAUUGAAGGAUCUCUGAACUAUCAUUGAAUACCAUUGCAAGGUGUGUUUUCAGUCAAUCAGGCAAGACGAAUACCGUAUGUUAACUAAGGGUACGUGUGAACCUACAGAGAAACUCGUUUGCAAAUGCCCCGACACUAUUUUGAUUCCACUACAAUUAUAGAACUAAUUCAGCAACAGAAUGGAAACUAGAUUGACAGUGAAAAUGAGUAGUACUGGAUAUUAGAAUUAUUAUCAAAGUAUUGGAACCAAAAGGGAUAGGGGAAAUUGUCAACAUUUAAGAUACAGCGAGGUUGGUAAAUCAAAACGGGUUCCAUACCUGAGGUACAAUAUGGUGGUGCAGAUGAUGGUGUAUCAACUGGAGAAGUGCAAAACGCAGGUGCAGGCACGGGGGCAGGCGCAGGUGCAGGCACCGGGGCAGGCGCAGGUGCAGGCACCGGCACCAGCACAGGUGCAGGCGCAGCUGGUGGCUCAGGCACAGGCUCUGCAGGAGGCUCAGGCAGAGGUGCAGGCGCCGCAGGAGGUGGAGGUGCAGGCACCGCAGGAGGCGGAGGUGCAGGUGCAGCAGGAGGCGGAGGUGCAGGUGCAGCAGGAGGCUCAGGUGCAGGCGCAGAAGCAGGAGGUGCAGGCAGCACAGGCACAGGAAAAGCAGUCUUCUGUUCAGCCUCAGCUGGGCUCCCAUCAGCAACAGCUUCAGCAGGAUCUGCAGGGCCGUGCACCUUCUGCUUCUCAUACUUGGCCAAACCUUGCCCCCAUCCAAGUCGAGCCUUCUUCCUUGGCGCCUCAUCCUCAGUUCCAAGAGGAGCUGAACCAGCUGGAGGCUGAGCUGAAGCCUCCUUUUCUGAGGAGGCCGGUCGAGUGGUCUGGCCAAGAGACACAGGUCCAGCCCCAGCGGCAUCCGCAGCCUCAGAUCUGCUCUCCCUCCUCCGCCAUGGUGUCACCCGUGGGAGGUUGUCCCUAUCCCCCCUGUCAACUCUAUUGCCCGGAGGGUCAUAGCAGAUCGGAACAGCGACUGACCUCAACGGAGACCUCCUCGGCGGUGGCGGAGGGGGCUGCUCCGGAUGGUUUCUGGAGAAGUCACUUCCAUAGCCCCUGAACGGGGACCUUCGGUAAGAACCCCUCACCUCACGGCCGUCCCUCCGGCCGCCGCCUCCACCACCAUACCGGCCGAAGCUCUUGUAUCCCCCGCCGUCGUCUUCCACCCAGUACCGGUCUGAGCGCGAGGGCGUGUAGCCUAGCGGCGGCUCAUCAGGGUAGGAGCGGUCGUACGCGCCACCGCCCUGUCGGUAGUAACCUUCUGAAAUAGCAGAGCGGUUGGGGGAAAUUAGGGGCGCCGAAGAGGGCAGCCGAGGGCGCGGUCGCCUCAGAUCUGAGGAUUUGCGAGGGGCAGGCCUACCUGAGGAGGCCGACGACGGCGCCCGACGGGGCGAGGGCCGCGCGUGGUCCCGCAGGGGCGGUGGCGGCGGCGGGUGGUACGGCGAGUCCCGCCAGCGCGGUGGCGUGGGGGCGGGCGGCAGGAGCGGGUCGCCCGCGCCGCCGCCGUCGUGCCUGCGGCCCUCCCUGUACAGAUAGUCCCUCCGAUCCGGUGGCGGCGGAGGCAUCCACGGCGCCGUCGUCGUCGUCGUCGUACCAGCGGCGCCUGUACCCAGCUCCGGCCGCCGCCGCGAAUCACAUACGCGCGGCAAAGCCAACUCUGUGAAGCCUCCAACCUUCUACCCGUCGAACACCUACGCAGGAAGCACAGGCAAAAGUCAGCGAAAAGCACCCUUCGGUGGAGGACGGCCGGCCGGACGGCCUGCCCUGCCGGCGGAAGAUGGAUUCGGGAGCGUACAACUCACGGUUCCCAGCGGAGGCGGCGCCGGUUUUGGAAGGGCAAGGGCGUCCAGCCCUUCAGAACACGCGGAGACGGCGUGGGCGGGGCAGCAGUCCGUCGCCCACCGCCCGCCGGCGAGCAAGCGGCGGAAAAGGCGAUGCGAAGCGCCGGAGAGGCGCGGGCAGACGCUCCCUUACGGCGCUCAGGGCCGGGGCACGGGGAGGCGGGCUCGUCCGGGGCGGGCACGCGCUGAUCUGCGCCUGCGUGGAGGAAGAGGCGGCGGUGGCUGGGGCAGGGGGGCGGGCGGGAGGUGGGCGAGAGGUAGCAGGAGGAGGGAGAGGUGGGACGGGAGGGAAGAGAAGGAAAGGGGGAGGGGAAACGGAGGCCCUGCCAACGUGAGCCGAUAAAGCGGACGCGCCCGGCCCUGAAUCCGAUUUGAUGCGCGCCCCUCACGUCCGCCCGCGGCCCCCCGGAGAGAGGGAAGGAAAAAAGAAAUCAAUUUCCGGGAUUUCGCCAUUAAAUAACAACCGAUUUUUUUAUAUAUUCGGGGGGCAAAAAAAAAAGGAGGUGGAAGGAUAAGUGAGAUUGGCAACCAGCAGCGCAAGCAACAAACACCAAACAAAGCUUCCUACCUGGCCCGCCCGGGUUUGCCAUCUCUGCCCCCGGGCAGCCGCGGGAUUCACGGGAAUACCAGCCCCCCGAUCAACGGCCAGGAUCCGGAGCCGAUGGCAGGCACCGUGAUUCACGCCAACUCCCAGGGGCAGACCGGGCCGGACACGCCGUCCCAGCCCCUCACCCAAUCUCGCCUCGCCUGCUCCGCCGCUCGCCGCCGGCCCCGUCGGCGGCGGCACCUCCACGAUCCGCGCCGCGCGCAGCCGUCGAGCGCGGCCAUUCGCGGCGCGCGAGCAGGCCCGCUCCCCCGCGGGUCCGGCGGCCGCCGAUCCGCGCGCUUGUGCUGGGGAGCAAGAGCGAAUCGAUCGCGCGGCGGCGGAGCGGAAUUGAGCGCGGCGGGGAGCCGGGGGGGGAUCUGGUGGGUGAGCGAGCGAGCGAAGCUAGCGGCAGCGCUCGCCGAGAGGCUGCUCCGAUCUGCCGCGGGGAAGGGACGCAUCUGAGGAGUUUAUGCUUGCGCAGUUGCGCUCUCGCCGCAUGUGAUGGGGAUUGGGGAAAUUUCGGGGGUGCGGUGGCCGGUGGUGGCGUCGGUGUGUUUGGGUUGGCCGGGGGCUGAGGAGGAUCCGGGCCGCUUGCCGCGGCAACGGACGGCCUCGAUGCGCUGCCGCGAGGUCAGGGAAGGGGAGCGGGGACAAUCAUGACACGAUUAGAUCGGCGCACAACGACCAGGUGGAGGAUUUCCGGCUUUGUUCAGGGAAAGCGGGGUUGGUUUUGCUGUUGGAGAUGCGUUUGGAGCUGGAUGGGUGGGUCCGUGGGUAGGCUGGUGAAAGUGAUUUUCUCAUGGGACCCUUGCCGGCUCGCUUUACUUGGGGCCAAGCCCGAGAAGGUUCCAUCCCAAAGGGAGCCGGCUAUUAUGGAUAUGUGUUUUUCUUUUGUGUUAUUUAUCGUGGGCUCAUGGUACAUCCUUGCUGCAUGCUGCAGUCUAAUAAAUUUGCAAAAAUUCGGGGAAAAAAAUUGUAUAUGAAAGAUCUAUAUCGAUGUAAUUUUGUUUACCUUACAAGUCAAUAUAUGCAGCAUACAGAGUGAUUAAAAGCUUUCGCUCCCCUUAAAACUAAAAUAUUACUAUACAGUUGGCACAUCAAUAUCAUUUCUUUUUGAAGUAUAAACCUGGCAUGCUCCCAUGCUCUUGCAAGGUACAAACAGUUGUGGUAAAUCCCUCUCUCAUGCUCCGCUGCUUUUGGACCAUUGGUUCAUGCAAACCGUGCGACUUGGAGAAGAAAGGGUAAGCAAUCUGCAGAAUCUAUGUUGUGGGGACAUAUAGCACGUGAGAUUUGUUUCCCUGAUGGGGGAACAAGUACUGAUGAUGCUUAUCAUCUUCAAAACACGCAAUAUACGCAAUACACAAACGAAAAAAAGGAAGUUAAAGAGUACUCGUGCUCAAACGAUACCCCAGAUUAAAAAAAAAGUAAUUUAUGUUUUUGGACAGGGUAUGUUUAAGGCAUGGUCUAAAUCUAGAUUGGAUUCUGAAAAAUUCCUAGGGUAAAAUCCUCGUCGCACUGCACUAUGUUUUUAUUAUAUUCAUGAUAUUUGAAGUGCCACUUUACUAAAUACAGUUAAUUUGCAGUUUCUUACAUUCUCAGUCGAAUAUUUUAAAAACUAUUAACGAUUAACAUUUAAAAGUUCCGCUGUUUAAAAUGUCGUGUAUUCGUGACAAGGGUGAGAAUGUUACGAAAUCGCUGUAGCUGGAAACCAUCAAACCUCAUGGCGUCUUUAAAACGCAACACGAAUAUCACAUGAAACGAUGUGCUAUUUUUUUUUUUACGAAACGUUGGGAUCAAAAAAGAGUUGACCACCUAUCAUUUGCUUACCCAGGCGGGCCCCUCUCUGAGUCGCUGCACAUGCUGGCUGGCCUGUGGUACGUGCACAACAGUCAAUGCUACCUCCAGACUUCCCCGUCCCCAGUGUUUCCCUUUCGCCUACCGGUGACGUCGUCGCCCGGUCGCUCCUCGCCGUAUCAAAAGCAGCCCACAAAGAUCUCCAGAAAAAGUUCCCGAUCGUGAGGACGAUGACGACCCAGCAAGAGAAAUCGAGGAGGCAGAGGAAGGGGAACCGAAGCCGGAGAUGGAGGUCGGCCGCUACUGCCGCGAUCCCGCCCAAGGUCAGUGCGGCAUCCUGCCUCCCGGUUCGGCCAGUACUCUCGCUCCGCUCGGGCGCUCUUGCCCCUGCCUGCAGGCUGCAAACGCGGCGGAUCUGCCGUUCUUCCACCCGCGUCCUAGAUCCGUUCAGGUCCGAUGCGCGCGCGGUUGGUUAGCUGCUGGUUUUGCUCGGGGCGCCGUUGGUUAUAUCUGCUGGCUUGGCUUGGCUCCACCCGAUCUCCUGCUAUUUCUGACGCCUGCGCGAUCCGUCUCGAAGUGAUAGCCCGUGGAUUGGAUGGAGGUUGCCAUUCUCCUCCUCCUGAGAUGGGAGCAGUGACGCCUUGUUUGAUCCAUCAUUCAAUUCAGUUUAGAUGGAGCUUGUAUGAUGCUAUUGUUCGUUCAGACAUUUGGUGUCGAGAUUAGGGGAAGUGAGGAAGUCUGAGCAUUUCAUCUGAUAUACUGCAAAGUACAAACAAGAAAAGACAGACGUUUCACUUUAACAACAGGACCACUCCAGAGUAAUUGUUGGGUAAUACUUGGGAAUGUUUCACUUUAACAAUAGGACCAGUCCAGAUUAAUUGUUCGGGUAAUACGUGGGAAUUUUGUAGGGGUAAAUGAGACAUUGAUUGCUUCCAAUUUACACUGUCAGAUACUUAUAUGCUCUUAUCCCUUGCCCAAUUUCUUCCGUGGAUGUUAAAUAACGAAUACAAAUGCUCUGAAAAGAUUGACAAUGAUUUUUCUCCCCUUCAGGGUUUGCCCCUAAAUAUUUAAAAUUGGCACUUUUUAGUUUUGGUGGGCAUCAUAAAUGAUCAAUAUGGGGACAUCUGAUAGAUUCCUUGGAGUGCUAAAUGCUGCACCGGGUUUGUCCCAAAUCAUUUAAGAGCUUGGCAGGCGACAGGCGUAGCAACGGGAAUCUACUCCUCACCAUUCAGGUAAAUCACCUUAUCUACUAAGAUGCUGCACGCUUCUUCAAGCACAAUUACCUUUCUUCUGAUAGUUUACACGUAAGGAACCUCCACUAUGCAAUCGAAUGAUUUAUUUACAAUGCUACCAUAAUGAUAUUUCCUCAUCAAAAUUUUGCGAACACUGCUUAACAAUAAUGCUGAAGGAGAAACACGAUUUUUAUCUUCCUUCGCGCUAGAAUUCUGAAUUCUCUGUAAUCGAGUGCCGUGAAAUUUUACAAGUUUGUUUUUCUAUUUUCACAUUUUGGGAAUAGAUAGAUGUCCGGUUGCCAAUAAUAAUGAAUCAUGCCCUCUUUGGGACAAUUUAUGGUUAGUUUUAGCUCACCUACAAAUAUGCUUGCUAACUUUACACUAUUAGUUAACUUUGUUAUUCCAGUGGCCCGGACCGGACCUGUCAGUUUGCGUUUUCUCUUCUUAAGUCUAUAGGGUGACUGGGUCAGAAGUACUACACUGAAUUGCUGGAGCUAUAGCACUGGAAUGAUUCAGUGAGAAAGGAAGUUUUUAGUUGAAAUUCUUCAAAUGCAUGAUUCUGGUGAUUUUUUCAAAAGCUUAGAAAAGAUUAGGAAAAUUGUAUAUGCUCCGCAGAAAGUGAUUGGUUGUCGUCGAAGUUCUUUUUCAGUUGACGUUAAAGUUUCAUAGCAUUCAGGAUAAUAAAAAUAUGAUUUAGAGAAGUAUCCCCAGAAAGAAAUAGUGGAAAAUAAAUAAUAAAUUAGUCAACUUCAAGAUAAACUUCGGAAUGCAAAAGUAUUAGUAGAGAUGGAGUGUGAUUUUAGGGAUUGGAUUUAUUCGAAGCAAUGAGUAAUUUGGGUUGGCGUCACAUGUGUGCUUGCUAUGUCUUUCCUGACCAUGAUAUGAAUUUUGGUAAAGUUGCAUUUAUGGUCUUUCUGACCUCCAUUGUUUGCUUAACCUCCAAAACUUCAUUGCCUAUUGAAAUAUUGUUGUUCCUUUCCAUUGAAGAACUGUAGAAAGGUGUAUUAUUGUAUGUAGGAAUUAGCGCUCCUAUAUGAGUAUAUUUUUGCUGUGUGCUUCAUGGUUCUAUUGAAACGAGACAGCUUCAUGGUUUUAUGUGUUGAACUAAGGUUGCAUGGAAUGGAUUAACCAAUGGAAAUGCGAAUAGACUUAUGAAGAAUCUUUUUAAACCAUGUUUCUGUAAUGCCGAUAAAGUGUAAAAUCAAAGAAAUCGGACCUCUGUGGAUGCUAGGACAAGUGCUAUACUGCUAUAAAUUUUGGCACACAAAGCAAUCCAGUCCCUUUGAAUCAAUUUAAUUAUUGCUUUAGCUCUAUAUACACAUACUGCUGUAGUUUUUGGCAUGAUUGGACCUUAAUAGUUGCAUUCUUAUUUCUCUAACACCACCAGCAACAAAAUCAACAGUGGUAUUUAGUGACGAUGUUAUCUUGAGGAACUGAUACUAAGCUGCCAAAAUAACAUUUAUUUUUGAUGGUGGGUAAUAAUUACUUAACUGCUGUGUAUUUUUCUGAAACCUGCAUUAAAAUUGUGAACUUAUUGUUUCUCUUUAUACUUGCCAUGCAUACCAUUAAAUAUUGAUCCCAUUUUUUCAUACACCGAACUUAAGCAGUCAUAACAGCUGUAGAAUUGCUCCAUGAUUGAUUUACAGUGCUCAUGACAGCUUUACGGACUUAUCUUCCAAUGUAGCUCUACACUGAUAGCAAAAAUUACAGUUCAGAAUGUCACAAGUUUGCUGAUAGCGAUGGAUAAUGUGCUUCAGAUAUAGGUUAUGUACAUGGAGGGAACAAAUUUCUUUAAGUACACUGCAUGGUAGCAAGCAGAAUGGACUUGCUUUUCCUUUUCUGCUUAUCAGAGUUCAUAAAACAAAUGGACUGUAGAGAAUAUUUGGCUUGCCAUCAGCUUUGGUUAUACUAUUUUAUCAUUGUUAAUGCAUUACUUGUGAUGUUCAGAAUUCAGAUGGAAAGGAAGAUGCAAGAAACAUCUUUGAGAACCGAGAAAAUGUUUUGAAAGUGAAAAGAUUGUUACAACAAUGUGCUUUGGGUGUUAAGGACAACUAUUUCUGCUAGUAAACAUGACUACAAGAAGACAAUAAGACGAUAAGUUGGCAUCCCAGCAUAACCCAGAUAAGAAGUUUGACAACAAACAGAAAUGUUUUCAUCAAACUGCUCUUGGUUAUGAGGUAAGCAAGAGCAUGAAACAUAAGUGUUGUGUGGAUUCAUUUCUUUGUGGUUUGUAGCACUUAUAAGCGAUACAGCCAUCCAUCGAUCUUGAGGUGAACUGAUUGUACCCAUUACCUAACGCUUGGUAAGCAGAUAGUCCCCACACAAAAGGUCAAUAAUAAGGAAGAGUAGCAGUACACAGUCCGGUGCCUUUUCCAAAAUAUAAAAGUUUUCAAUUAAAUUUUAAAAUUGUGAUGGGCUUUUGCAAACUUGAUUACUUCAAUGCUAAUUUCCAAACGUGAUAAUAAGUUUAUUUUCAUCAUUUCGAAAAAAGGCAUACUUUUUCAUUCCAAAGAGGCAUUCCCUGGAGGCCUUUUUCCCUCGGUCCUUUUUGGCGCAUUCACUGCUAGCUACCACCUCUAUUUUCUGCAGAGUGGUUGGAUGGGAAAUGAAAUGGAAGUUAGGGUCAGUGGUGCCUAAGGUUUACUUAGUUCACUCUAAUUAUCUGUCAAUCACUUGCAAUGCUGACGAUAGAUCACCAACUGCUUGCCUUCCAUGGUCUAAUUAGCCAUUUUGAUGUAUCACUAUUCAUUUAUUUAUUUGGUACAAUAAAUCCUAUGCUAUCAAUUAUGUAAAUUGUGAAUCUAAUUCAUGCAGAACUCAGUGAUUGUGAUGAGCAUGUGGUGAACCACACUGUUUCUGCUCGAUAAUGGAGAAGAUGACAGUAGCAUCGGUACGGGAGGUACCUGGGGAGAUCACUGCCAUUGCAAACUGCAUCUUAAUGGCUUGCUUGAUACAACCACUUGGCAUUGUGAUCGCCAGAGCGGCACAGCCCUUCUUUCCUCAUUGGCAUCUUCAUUUCCUAGCAGAGUUUUAUCAUGGGCCAACCUCUUUGCAGUGAACUCUUGCUCCUCUGCAAUUGUGGUGCUGUCUUUAACGAUGUUCAAUUUCCAGUGUGCUGGUGUUUCAUGGCAAAGGUAGUCAUGGAAGUUUCAGAUAUGUGCAGGUGUUCCCACCACGGUGGCACGGUGCAGUGGCUUGGUUAUUCUUGAACUUGAAUGAGAUAGUGCACAGGGGGGAGUUCAGAUUCCAAUCUGAUGGGCAAGGUUUUCGUUUGCUGGAGGUUUUCAAUUCGACUUCUGAGUUUUUGUGACAAACCCAUACUCUCGUGGUGCCAGUCUUGAGCACUGAAGAGGUUGGUUUCUUCAUAUUUCCUGGGCCUAAAAUCAGGUGUCGAUAAAAAGCGUAUCCGCAGCCGCAUGGGCGCCCAUGAUCUAAAAGCUAGGGAUUGAUAGUGCAUACUGCCUCCAAUAUAUUUGAUAGAUCUGACCAUAAGCCAACCAACCUAACGUUAUAGUUUUUGUUUUCGGGGCAUAAAUUUCCUCAGGCAAAAUGGGAAUAAACUCGGGUUACCCGUAUGGCUGCAUUAGCGUAUUUCUUUAUUCUGAAACAAAGUCUAUUUUAGCAUUUUAUCAUGGCUUCACUUGCUGCAUGUACGAGUCGCAGGUUACGCACGCUUUUGGAGCAUCUAUGAUCUAUCACGUCUUCACAUGAACUUUCAACAAUUUUUCACAUGAGUUCACAAGCUGGCUGUUCCGCAGUCUGCUUUUCUUUUUAUUUCUUUUCUUUCUUCAUGGAACAGAUUCCCAGGCCCGUGAACACAGCUUUGGCAUCCGCGCGAGUCAACGGACACAGAAACCGGUGGCGGGUGCAGGCUGAUCAGUCGGUCGCGUUGUUCCAUGGCUCAGCUUGCAACUUGCGAGUUUGCGCAAUUGCAUAGGAAGUUCAGUUCAGCUGGAGUUGGAUCUAUCCAAGAGAUGCCACAGCUUUUGACUUUCCUUGGGAGAAUGGGAGGCCGCCUCUGCCGGUCUAGGCCUUAGUUCACCCCCAAAUCCCAACUUUAGUACUAUGUAAAAAGAAGAUUCCCCAUCACAUCAAAUUUGUGGUACAUGCAUGGAGUACUAAAUGUAGACGAAAUUAAAAACUAAUUGUACAGUUUUGUUGUACUUUGCGAGAUGAAUCUUUUGAGCCUAAUUAGUCAAUAUUUGGACAAUAAUUCACAAAUACAAACGAAACGCUACAGUGUUGCUACAGUAAUUUUGGCACCCCAAAGUUGGGCAACUAAACAAGGCCCUAGUCGAGCCACCCAACAACGCGUCAAGAUCGACAAACAAAUCACUUUUUUUUUUCCAAAGACAUGUAUAGCACAUUUUUCAUUAAGAAGAGAAUUACAGUGACGCAAUUUUAGAAAAGAUCUUAAAAUAUAGAAUAUAGAGUUACAAGAACCAUCACCUACGACCAACAACGGAAACACAACAACAGAAAAAAAAGAACCACAACACCACCCCCACCUUAAACACGACUUAAGACGCUUGAAACCUGCAGGAGAUAAGGACACCAUGAACACAUGCAUAUCACCGAUUGCCUAACAACCCCGAACCAGCAGAGGUAGAGCGAGAAUGUCAUACAAGACGAUGCCUCUAGGAGGAGCGAUGCCAACGUCGCCAUUGUCCAUUGUCCACGGAGGACCAGACCAAAUCUUCACCUGGCAAAACCAAAUGAAUUUGGUGGCCACAACAACACCCUUAACGAGGUGAGCUACAUUAAGGAAUGCAACCGUUGUCGGCAUCAGCGAAUGCCGGGCAAAGCUUUCACUAAGGCCCCAAAACCAACUCCAUGCAGCUAACCGCCAAGGCCUGCAUGAGAGGCAAAUCGAUGGGAUGGCAGCGAGCAAUCCACGGCGACGACGACGGGGAACAUCCGCAGGCCAGUGAUCGCCAUCACAACGACCAAGGGCCUCUAGCCUUGUAGCCCAUGGCGGGGAGAGACGACCUUGAAGAGAACGACCAUGACCUUGUGGGGAAGGCAGUGGGGGAGAAAGACCUUGGGGUCACCCGGCCACCCCUGGACAGUGGAUCCGAAGACCGGUGGCUUAAAGUUGCCCCUGCUGCCGAAGGAAGAGCGACGAUGCAGUACGAAGGAGCGACCUUGCACCACGCCGACCAUCGAAAAGAGCGAACCCGGUGACUCCACCUUGCGGGCCACGGUGACACCGUCAAGCCCCCCGCCUCUUCCGCAUCCUCCAAGCCGCAGGCACCAUUCCCAGUGCGACGACAGUACCGGGAGCAGGGUUUGCCCUUGCCAACCCAACCGGAGGCCACAACAAGUCAGGGGAGCCCGGGGAAGAUGGUGGCCAGCGAAUCCGAUGAAGAGGGGGAGGAGCGACCUUGCGCCAUGCCGGCCACCGGGAGGCGACCGGCGGCCAGGGGACUGCCACCACUCCCGGACGGCAAGUCCUGGCCCAAGACGCGCAGAUCGGGACCCAGACGGUGGAUCCUGUGACUGAGCUGGCCAGAGAGAGAAAGAGCGGCGACGGUCGGCGAUAGGCAAGCCGACGGAGGCGACCUAGGGUUUGCCGGGGGAGAAGAGGAGGCCACCGCCGACGCGGCCCGUGGGCGCCUGCGGCGGUGGCCGGACGGGCGGAGCGGGUGGGGGGCUAGUAGCCCACGGCCGCCACGCGCAGCCCGCCGAAGCUCCUCUGAUGGCAACCAUGGUUACUCUGACGAACAGGAGACCAAUCCUAGCAAGUAGUAGGCAGAUCUAGCGAGGGGCGUGGCAGAUCCGACAACCGAGAGGAUGGAUUCGGCCUUUGGCGCCGCCGACGACCUCUACCGAUGGAGGGAGACACGACCAUGUUGGGGCUAAGUGGGGAAGGAGGGGAAGGAGGGCCUCGCCGCCGCCACACGAGCUUCCGCGGCUGGCUCUGGUGGUGGCGUGGCUGGGAGAGGGUGGGGGAGCUUGGUGGCGGCGGUGGUGCCGCCGUGCCCAACCUCCCUCAAAUCAAAUCACCUUUUCUUUUGAAUAUAAAAAAAUUACAAAGAAAAGUGGGGGUCAGCGUCGAUUUGUACAUUUCUUGAGAUGCAAGCGAGAGCGGCCUGCAGACGGAAACACGGGCGACAGCGACUUGUGCAGGUAAAAAACAGCAGCAAACGCGUCAGGAAAAAGGAGGAGCAAGACAAGAAUCUCAAUUCUCAACUCAACAGCAUCGAGCAGACGGGAAGGAAUCAAUCAUGGCGCGGGCGGCGAGGUGGCCAUGUCGGCGCUGCCGCCGUCAUCAUCGGCGGCGGAGGCCAGCGGCUGGAGCGCGCGGAUCUUGAUGUCGUAGCGCGGGGACCUGGCGUCGCCGGCGCGGUCGUCGUAGGCGAACCCGAGGCUGGCGCCGCACUUGCGGCAGAGCAGUCGGGUGCGGCGCACGAAGAGCCUGCGCGCGCGCACGUCGACGCAGCGGAACUCGUCGGCGUGGCCGAAGCGCGCGUCGUCGAUGGCGUCGAAGGGCACCACCCCGCGCCGCGCCGCGCGGCCGUACCCGCCGCCCACGAUCCCCGCCGUGUUCCGGUCCGACGACCGCAGCCGCAGGUCGUACCCGCACGCGCCGCAGCUGCCGUGAUGGAUGAUGAGCUUUCGUCAGCCGGAGAACUAACCCAUCGUGAUCCUCGGAGCAGAAACCAAGUCGAGGCAAAGAGAGCACUGACCAGUAGGUGACGGCGGAGAGGCUCCUCUGGAGGGCCGACGCGUCCUUCUUCUCCAUGUCCGUCGGUUGCUCCAUCGGCGAGCUUGCCUCGUGUUCUUGGCAGGCAGUUAACUGUCGCUGGAUUGGUUGGGAUCUUGCGUUGCCUUGUCGACACUCUUCACUCGGUUGAAGACAGACAAGUCAGCCAGCAUAUAUAGAGGUAGAGAUGCUGGGAGUGGGAGAGCCAGGAGGGCUUUGCAGUUGCAGGGGAAAUU
rnacentral:lncRNA from 1 species